UGGGGAUUACGAAUUCAGCAAAACCAACUAGAUUUUUCUUUUUAAAAAAUACAUUGACUAAUUAACGCAUAUCAGUACAAUUUCUUGGUGAAACAAACAUAUAAGUUUUGUGGUUUCCGGUGAAGCGGCGUGAUGUGACAGGUCUCCUUGGGACAGCGGCCUGACGUAGAGGAGAUUGGAUCCUCGGAUACGGACUCUUGGUGACUCUCUGACAGGCUAACGGCUGGUUGAGGACGGUUGUUUGACGGUCAAGAGGAGGGUUUCUGGAGGAGGUGGAGGCGAGUGGGUGUCGGGAGCGGCUUAGGCUUAUCCUCAAGCAUGUUCCGAACCGGCGAAGCCUUCCAGUCAGGUGGUUUCUUCACUGAUCUUGCACUAACUUGUUUUCUUUUCAGGUUUCGUAACGUUUGGGGGUGUCACCACCUUGUUUUCUUGGCCUUCCUUCUUGUGGAAGUGGUUAUGCUUUCCAGUUGAUGGUUCUGCGGGAGCUCCGACUAAUGGCGAUAGUUCGCUGAGGACAUGGUGCCUCUUUGAGGAAGGUUUCGGGGAGUUUUUGUUCAGCGGCGGCUGUCCCUCUCUUUUGCUCUCUUGCCAUUUUGGGGAGUUUUUGUUCAAAGUCUUCCGUUUGUUUGAACCCGUUUAUAUGUUUUCGUUUUUUUUAAUUUUACUUUCCUUUUAUGUCUUUUCAAUUCCAGUUGUCUCGUUUGUAGAAAAAAACACAAAAUAUAUUUAAUACAAAAGCCUUUAACAAAAAUCUUAUAAAUUUUGAAAAUAUGUUGAUAUAUGAAAAUGGUGCAACAAGCACCGCGUCACUGUUAACAAUAUUGUAUAUACUUAUAUUUAUUUGAAAUCAAGCAUUGUUACUAAUUUUUAUUUAAUAAAAAAAAAAUUUCAUUAACUUAUUGUGAUUUGAAAAUAUUUCUAUACAUUAGAUACUUCAUAAAUACAAAACUUAUUAUAUUUUUGUAUUUAGUGAGAAUGAUAAUUCUAAUCGUAAGAAAGUUCGAUAAUAAAUCACAAGAAAGUUAUUGUGAUAUGAAAAAUAAUAAUUUCAUUAACUUAUUGUGAUAUGAAAAAAUAUAUAUAUAUCAUAUAUCAUAUACUGUAGAUAUUUCAUAAAUACCAAACUUAUUACAUGUUUGUAUUUGGUGAGAAUGAUAAUCCUAAUCAUACAAAAGUUUGAUUAAGAAAAUCAUGAGAAAGUGUAUAUAUAGUUCUUUCAACUUUUGUAACUAUGAACAUAAAUGUGUAUGAUUUUUUACCAUGAUUAGAAUACUUAUUACAAAGUAACAUCUUAAUGUAAUUAUCCAAUAGAAGAAAAAUCUUGGAUUUUCCUCCAGGAAGGUGAGCAAAGUAUCUUGUAUAACGUCUUUUUUUGUAUGACACUUUUAACAUGCAAAACUUAUGCCAUCUUUUACUAGUGUUUUUUUCCAAUAAGAAUGCAUUCUUUAUUUGUCUUGUUCAUUUCUGUAAAGCUAUAUAAAACAAAAAUUCCACCAAAAAAUCUAUAUUAAAAUUAUACUAUAUGUAUGAUUACUAACAAUAUGAAAAUUACAAUACUCCCGCAUUCUAAAUUUAUGAUGUAACCAAUCACACUCAUAAAAUGGAUACAAAUAUUAUUCGUUCACAAUCAUGUUGGAAAUGUUUUUAGCAUAAAAGUACAAAAAAAGUUUUUGGAUUGUUCAGAAAUGUAAUUAAGACAACAAAUCAUAUUCAAAUGCAAUUUAAAAAUUGCAUGUCAGAAGAAUGCACGAGUCCACUUUUUUUUACCUUUGCUUGCUUAGACACCAUUUUUGUAAUAUGUGCUUAAAGGCAAAUGGAAAAAAUCAUCAUUACUACUGAAAGACAGUCUUCCUCUUCUUCUCCUUCCUCUUUCUCUUCUCUUCUAGAAGACUUUUCUUCCUACAUAAUUAUCACAUGAUUCAAAAGAAAAAUUGAGAUGAACAAGUAAACCCCUCCCCCUCCUGAUAGUUGAGAUCAUUAGAUCUAGUUAAUAGACAAGUCUAAACAUACGAAAGCUAAUAGACUUGUUGACUAAGUAGUUGAGCUUUACAUUAUCAUGCAUGCAACUCAUUAGGCAUAUGUAGGAUUAUAAUCCCAAGUUUCCUGAAUAAAAACCCUAAGUCUAACUAUUUCCUUUUUAAGCACCAAAACCUCAACCAAUCAAUUGAACAAACACUUGUUCAAUAUAAAACUGCAAUANNNNNNNNNNNNNNNNNNNNNNNNNNNNNNNNNNNNNNNNNNNNNNNNNNNNNCCCCUGAGUUGAUUACUUGUACCGCAAAACAUAUUAUUGAAAAAUAAGAAAUGAUAUGCAAAACAGAAGAGGGAAACCAAUAAACACGUACACAUUGAAGUUCAAGAAAAGCACAAUUGAAUUUCAUGCUCAGAAAGCAUUUGAUAGUAACACAGAAAGAUUCCAAAGUUUGUAAUUUCGAGUGAAGAAUCAGUUUAAUCUAUUAUACAUGCUUUAGUUGCAACUUGCAAGUAUUGUAUAUAUUAUAUAUAAAUUUUGGGUUUAAGAUUGAUAAAGCAAUUUUAAACCUUUAAAAGCAUUUAAAAAAUAUUGACCUAAAAAGCAGUUUUAAACUUUCACAAUCCUUAAAAUUUAUUCCUUGACCUAAGCACUUUAAGAGAGAGAGAAUGAAAUGAUUUACCUUUUGAAAGUGAUGUACUUUUCAACCUGUGGUUUCUGCUCGGAGCUAAAAGAAUACCAUUUUUCAUGAGGACAUAUGUCACUAUAGCUUCCCAAAUCUGCACACAGAAAUAGAAGAGAUUAAAGUCAGUACAUACCCUUUGCCACAACAAACGGAUAAUUCCUAUGUUUCUUUCACACCUUGAAGCAAAAUGGUUGGUUCUUCAUUGUACGACUUCAAAUUCCAGAGAAUAAGACCAUUGUCUUCCAGUUCAACAGGGUUGGUUCUAAGAGCAUCGUUAUAUUCUUGACCUAUGCAAAACAAUAAGAUUAGGUACAUUUUUAUAAAAAUCAAUCACAUGAGUUCAAAUUUAUACUUUUAGGUUGCAUUUCUAAUGCCUUUUUCUUUUCAAAAUGAACUUCUUCAGAUUCAGCAGACAUUUGCGAUAUAAUUGCAACCCGUUGUUCGAUUGUUAAUGCAACCCCAUUAUUAUCUGCUUCAGUUUUGGAAAAAUCAUCUUUUAUCUUCUGAUACAGUUCUUUCUCCUACAACAGAAAUGUUUUAGAAUGAAUCUAAGCGUUAUUAAACUUAACUGUAAAAACCUAAGUAGAUUUUUUAUGGUUACCUUAGCUUCUGCUGCAUUCAACUUUUCUUCUGCUCUCUUUUUCUUUUCAACAUAUUUAGGGUUUUCAUGGUUAUCGAUGAAAUUCCUCAUCAGCCUGAUAAAUUUAUCACAGCAUUUAAGCCCUCUUAUAUAUAUGUAUGUAUGUAUGUAUGUAUGAAUAUGUCUCUAUAACGUACGAUAUGCCAAGCGCUUCAUCGCAUAAAUAAUUCAAAAGCUUAAGCUUUUGUGAUGAAUCCAUCUCCGCAUACUCAGAAAUGCCUUUAUGAAACAUCUCAGGAGGGAAGUCAUCAAGCUUAACUUCUGAUUCCGCAAGACACUCUCCAAGAAUAGUGAACCACCUAUCAUCAGUGGCACUAAUGCCAACCGAUCUACAUUUUAUUUUAAAAAUAAAAAAACUAAUCAGAUAACGUACACAAAAUUUAUUAGAGAAAAUUUGAUACUUUUCAAGAAAAACGAUGCUUACAUUUCUCCUCUGUCUGCUAGUAUAAGAGUCAGUAACUGGAUUAUCGUCUGGGUAAGCAUAGAAUGCUCUUGGCUCGUGCUUCUUUCAGAUAGAACCUCAUGUACAACCGAAUGAGCUUGCCCGUCCCUCAAACCCAGAGCCUAUUCAUAAAGUCAUAUGAAGUGAGAGGAACUAUUAGUGAUCUUUAAUUAUAUUCAAAGGAUGAUACCUCUCUAAACGUUAAACAGAACUCUAAAAACUGAAGCACACUUCCAGCAUUUUCAGGGUGCAAGUCAACACUUGAAACAGUGAUUGAUUGGAUUCCCUGUGGUAGCUUAACCUCCGCAAGCUGAAACUCCUCUUUCUCCUUGAGAACGGGUUUGGUUCUUGCCGCAGCAUUCUCCUCGCUGCAGCCAGCAGUUGAAUCAUUUAUCCCUUCAGCACAAUUCCCUUGUCCAAUAACAUUUUCCUGCAGAUACCAAUAUCAUCAAACAAGACAUAAAAGCUAUAAUCGACACAAUACAAAGGAUCAUAGCUUCGUACCGGUUUCACCUUCCCCCUGUAAAAGUAUUUUUCAGAACCCUCUUUUUUGAGGAACUCAGAGACAUUGGAGCAACCAUUUUUCUUAGCUGUGGCUGUCAACAUCCCAGUAGGCUUCUCACCUUUAUUCUUCCUGGAAGAAAAAAGAAAACAAAAUUUAAUAAAAGUGCAUAUAUAUAUAUAUAAUGGAUGAUUUUGACUUACAUGCACUUACUACAAUUGCAAAUUUUCCUACAUCUGGGACAAACCCAAUUAUCAUUCAGCGCAACCUCCUCCCCGAUCUCUCCGUACCUAUUAAUUCGAGCCAAUACAUAUCACUAGAGCUUGCACGUUUCUCAUAACAAAAGACAUAAAUCUCAAAACAUCAAAACCAAACCUGCUCAACAGGCACUUAGGACAAAACUUCAACCCACAUGUCUUGGUUCCCUCCUUAGUCACGCAAGUUCCAACAGCAUCCGAUCUCCUGUGACGACACUGCAAAAUAAAGACCACUUAUCAAAAUAAAACUUCAAAUGACAAGACAAAAAGUUUAAUCUAAACGCAGAAUUGGACGAGUAUCCAUUUUAAGUUUCAUCAUAAUAUCAAAACAAAGACGAAGGUAUAUCACUUGGUGACAAUAUAUCGCGUCUUCGAUCGUUGCGUCAACAAUCUGCUGGUUCGUGCUUUCCAUAGCCAUACUCUAAAAAAAAGUUACUCACAAACUUGAAAACAAGUCCUUUUUUUUUCUCUCUGGAAAAUCUGAUGUUUAAGGCUUGGACUAGUUAAAUUCAGAGUAUAUAAUUUUUUUAGAUUUUAGGAUAAUAUUUGUAGAUUACUUUCCUUUUUGGCUACCGAAAACAUUUUGAAGGCCAAUAAUUUAAGAUUACAUUUUUGGAAGCUGUAUCCUCAUAAGUACAGUAAAUCUCUAUAAAUUAAUAAGCGAUAAAUUGAUAGACACUAUAAAUUACUAAUUUUCCUCGAUCUUAAAGUGAAUCAGUUCAAAAUAUAACACAAAUCGAUAAAAUAUUAAUAUAAUAAUGUUUACAAGCUUCUAUGUAAAUAUAUAGUCUCAUUAAAAUUAUAAAUUAAUAAUCUGUUUAUAUAUAUAUUUUAGAUAAGCACAAAUUAAAUAUUAUAUUGUAGGUUUUAUAUUCACAACAAAAUACCUCUAUUUUUUCAUAAAACUUCAAAUAUAUUUUGAUAAUAUUUAGUAAAAUUAUAUCGAAAGCACAUUUAAAUUCUAUAUAACAUCAAAUAUUCACCAAAUCAUAUAAUAAGACAAUAUGAAAGUCAAAUUUCUAAACUUUAAUUAAUGUAUGUACAGUCAAAUCAAAGAUUUUAUUAAGUUAUAGAUUUAUUAGUUUAUAAAAAAGAUUUCUUUUUUAGAUUUUUUCUAUCUUUGAAUAUUUUUAUUAAAAAUUACUCACAAACUUGAAAACAAGUCUUUUUUUUUCCCUCGAAAAUCUGAUGUUUAAGGCUUGGACCAGUUAAAUUCAGAGUAUAUGAAUUUUUUAGAUUUUAGGAUAAUAUUUGUAGAUUUCUUUCCUUUUUGGCUACCAAAAAUAUUUUGAAGGCCACUGAUUUAAGAUUACAUGUUUGGAAGUUGUAUCCUUAAUUAUACGUACAGUAAAACUCUAUAAAUUAAUAAUCGAUAAAUUGAUAGACACUAUAAAUUAAUAAUUUUCUUCGAUCUUAAAGUGGGCUAGUUCAAAAUAUGACACAAAUCAAUAAAAUAUUAAUAUAAUAAUUUUUAGAAAGUUCUAUGUAAAUACAUGGUCUCAUUAAAAUUAUAAAUUAAUAAUCUGUUUAUAUAUAUAUUUUUUAGAUAAAUACAAAUUAAACAUUAUAUUGUAGGUUUUAUAUUCACAACGAAAAUACCUCUAUUUUUUCAUAAAACUUCUAUAUAUUUUGAUAAUAUUUAGUAAAAUUAUAUCGAAACCACAUUUAAAUUUUAUAAAACAUAAAAUAUUCACCAAAUCAUAUAAUAAAACAAUAUGAAAGUCGAAUUUCUAAACUUUAAUUAAUGUAUAUACAGUCAAGUCAAAUAAUUUCUUAUUUUAUAAAUAGAAAUAUUCAAAGAUAGAAAAUCUAAAAAGGAAAUCUUUUGUUAUAAAUUAAUAGAUCUAAAACUUAAUAAAAUAUCAUAGUCCCAACAUUAUUAAUUUAUAGUUUUUAAUGUAUUUCAUACACAAGUAAACUUGUGAAUCACAAAUUUUUAGUCCAGUUACUGACUAUUAAAUAUUAUUUCUUUUGAACAUGAUUAAGUACUUGAUUAUUUUUGCUAUUUGAACUAGUCUUGCGGUUACACUUUUUUUUUUUUUGUUUAUUCGGUCAGGCAUUUUUGGUUUGUUCACAGUAUCACUGAAGUGAACCAGAAAAAAUUCGUUUGGUUUUCGGCUAAUUUUGGUUUUUACAAUUUUACCCAAAGUAACUGAAUUUCUUCAUCUUAACACGUUUUACACAUCCAUUGCUGUCCUACCUAAGAGACAACCGGCUGAAUACAAAACGGCAGUUCACACACAUCUCAUCACACCAUUUUUUCACACUCUUCCUCUUCAUCGUUCAACACUUUAGGACCAACCACACAACACAUAGUCUGAACCUAGCAACCAUUUAUCUAAUCCGUUUCAUGCAUCUAAUAUCCUAGUACGCAGAUCUGAACAACAUGAACAAGGAACACCGAGCAGCAAAAACAACAACACCACACGACAUCUCAGCUCGGCUGGAGGGGAUGGACGACCGGAAGCUAUCUGUUGAUGUCACGGCGGUCCGGCGCUGAGGGGAGAGAGACGCCGGCUCGGGCGCGAGGAGAGAGGGACACACAAGAAAACGAGAAAGAGAGGCCGAUGAGAGAGAGAGAGAGAGAGAGAAUAUAUGCCGGCUAGGGUUUCUAAACUCUCUCUCUCUUGUUUCUAAACUCUAUGAAACUUGCAAGGUUUUCUUUGGUUUUCUGAUGGGGAAGAAAAGAGAUGGGGAAUUUCUAUUUUCAAUAAAAAGAAAGGAAAACCCUAGGUUUAUCCCUAAUGGGACUAUGCUCAGCGGGCUUCCUUUUAAUCCAAAGUUAAAUUUGGGUUAAAGGUUUUGGGCAGUUACAAAUCUUCCAUUAUUCACUACAGGAAAUAUAUGGGUAGUAAGAGCAUCUCCAAUGUAAAACUCCAUUUUUUCCUCCAAAAUAGAGUAAAAGUGAAAAUAGAGUAAAAUUGUUCCAACCCUACACCAUUUCCCACUCCAUAAUAGAGUUAUGAACAAACAAAAAAAAGAUUACUCUAUUUAUGGAGUAAAUUACAUUAUGGAGUGAGAUAUGGAGUUGGGUUAGAGCAUUCCUUACUCCAUAUUCACUUUUACUCCAUUUACUCCAUUUUAGAGGAAAAAAUGCAGUAGGAAUGGAGAUGCCCUAAUAGCGGCCGGAAAACACUAUGAAUUCUAGCCGUUCUGACAGCACCCGUUAUAAUAGGUCCGACACUUUUAAUAGUGGUUUUCUUGUAUGCUAUAGUUAAAUUAGCAACGAUAGCUAAUGUUUCGUGCUAUUAAAUUAUUUUUAAAUUAUCUUAAAAUUUUAUUUUAAAAAAUUACAAAAUCAAACUAAUUUAAAAAAAUAAAAAAAAACUACACCUAAACAUAAUUAAAUAAUUCAAAAUUGAAUAGAAAAUUAAUUGAUAAUUAAAAGGUAAAUUUUAUUUAUUAAUUAAAAUCAAUAUACAAAUAAUUAAUGAAUACAUUAAACGAAAAAUAAAUUAAAACAUUAUACCAAAACAUAAUUAACCUAAACUAAGCCUCUGCCUGCAACCCUAAUCCUCCGCCACUAGCCUCCAGCCUCCAGAGCAUCCACCUCCUGAGUGUUGUCGUCGCAUCACCUAGUCACUGGAGUUGACUUCUAUCGAGUUGUAUGCUACAGCCAUCAGAGGGAUACUUGUAGUUGUUAAUAGAAGACCAAAAAGCACCUCAUGAACAAGCUUGUAAUAAGAACACAAAAAAAAAACAAACUUACAUCUAUUUGUGCUUGGAUAAAAUCUGUUUAAAGGCAGAGUCUUGUAGGUAUCUUUACCUCGAACAGGAAGAAUACUUGUCCUCCUCCGCCGUUGAAUUAAGAAAGAGAUAGAGAGGACGGUGGUCUGUGGGAGAGAUGGCUAUAUCAAGCAACAACUAAAGUCUGGUAGUAUCAAGAGACUUUCCGUCCCUCUUGUGUCACCAUUCAAUCCAUCAGUUUUUCCUUUUUGGUGAGUUCAUAUCCUCUUAGUCCGGCUGAGUGAUCAUUCCCUUAUUUAAGGCGUAUCAAGUGGUAUCAAAGUCACUCAACCGGUACUAUCUAUCCAUCUUCUCAUCUUUCAUUUUCUAAACACUUCAUCUUCUUCUUUUUAUCUCAAAUUUGGGCCACUACCUUACCUACCGCCAUUCUUCUAUAAUAAAAAAAAAAGAAAAAAAAAAGAAAAAGAUCUAUCAAAGAAAAAAGAGAAACAAAAGUUUGAUUUAAUUGGCUAGGUGGUGGAAGAGAAAUUCUGCUGGCUGAGGAGAAAUCCAGCCUAGGAGUAGUUAAUACAGAUUUCAAAACUAAUUAUCUUAUCUUCCUAUCUUGUGUUCAUCUCUUGUUUGCUUGGAGAAGCCAUUGAGUUACUUGAUUUGUUCUCUUAGAAGUUUGAGAGGAAAUUCUUGAGUGACCACUAAAAUCCGAAAGAAACACUUGUGUGGGAAAAAGAUGUUUGGACUUCACAAGAAGAGUAGCAACAAAAAAUCCCAACAGCAAACUAUCUUUAAAUCUUCAUCUCGAAAUUUGUUGAAUAUUUUUGAUAAUUUUGUUACUGUGCAGUAAAGGCCAAUCCUGAGAAGACCACAUAAGAUGCCAAACAAGAGGUGCAAAGUGCAGUUCAAAACGUCUAGAGAUGAAGCUGAUCAAAGGAGGCGAUUCCUUCAGUUUGAUGUGCAAGAGUUUUGUGAUAACUUUGAGAAGCAGACGUUGAAAACCCUUAGGACGCCAGCAAGAUCCAAAAGAAGAUCACAACCACACAUUCACCAGUAGCUGAACCAUCAAUAUUCAUGAAUGAAGAACCCAAAGGUAAAUCUGAAAACAACCUUGAAGAUUUAAAAGAUUUUACAUAUUUUUUACCAAUUUUUGAUGAAUAUGAUGAAGAGCUGAUUGAAAGUUUGAUCAUUUGUGAGGAUGAAUGUGAUCUUCCUUCUCCAAAAUCUGAUUUUAUGUUUGAUGAUGAAGAGACCAAUGGACUAACUUGUUUCGAACCGGGGCAUCCGAGUAGUCUUGUACUAUUUUCACAGGAUUUUGAGGAAGAGCCAUUCGACUACUCGCAUCAAGAACCGCUUCUUGGCACUAGGAGACCCAUGGACGAUGAUCUAGGUCCCAUCUUUGAUGAGAAAGACGAACUGGUUCAACCUUUGAAGCAGAAGCACCAAGCAUAACAUCCAUCACCAUGGAGAACCAACUUUGCUUUGAUCCCGACACAACUCCUACGCCUUUGUCCACAGAUAUUCAAGAGCACUGUGAGAAACUUGAUUUGAUUAAUUCUCUGUCUGAAAUGUUUGUUAAGAUCAAUUCGGAAGAUGUUAAACGUUUUAGUUUUGACAAAGUUAAAGAAUUUUGUGUUUCAAACUCUAUUUUUGAAAACAUGAUUAACUUUUUUCAACUGUUUGAACCUGAUAAAUUUUCUGAUCAAAAACAUUUUCAAAUUGGCAAUGACAUCAGUUCUAAUCUUGUUUUGAGUUUUGAUCAGUUUUUGAAACAUAGCAAGGGUUUUGAUCAUCUUGAAAAAUCACUAGAGCUUGGUUUGCAACAACCUGUUUUUUGUGCUAGAAAAUCGUUUGAUUCAUUUGUCUUCAAAGAAAAUGGUUUUGAUCUGAGUUUUUAUAAACAUGAACUGAUCAUGGUGAUUUGUUUGCAUCCACUUGUGCCUUGGACGAACUAAUGAUAUUAAGACUUUGCUAGAGCAGAAAUCACCUAGAGUUGAAACCGAUUUUUGUGAUUCUGUUUUGAAGCUUGAUAUUUUGUGUUUUGAAACUGAUAUACCUUGGCAUGUGUUGAGAUCAUUGCUUAAUAAUUGUUUUGUUUUGAGCUUUGAUGAUACUGUGGUUUACAACACAUUCUUUGAAAAACAUAUUGAGCCUUUGAUAAGUGAUUUUCAAUCUGAACUUACUCUUUUGUGUUCUGAUUUUGAGAAAGAUAGGCAUAUUUUGAAAAUGUUCAAUACUAUUUUGUGCCUUGAUACAUUCUGGCCUGUAAUGCUUACUUUGAUGUGAAUUUUGAAAGGCUGAAACGUGUGCUACAUGUUCUAGGUAUGAUCCUGGUGUUCUAGGAAAGAAACUUUGCUUUCUUAUUUGAACAAGUACAUGUUGCACAAUGAUUCUGGUAUUCUAGUUUCUAUUUUGAGUGUCGAGGAUAAACGGGUCCAGUCUCCAAGAAGUGUCAGGAAAAGAAGCAUAGGCCGUGCUUAUCAGUUUGAGAUUUAGAGAUGCAUGUACUCGAAGAAAAUGGCAUCAAAACUGCAAGGAAGUUUCUUUCCAAAAUUUUCCUUCGCUAAGUUGUACAUGUUUUUUUAAAUUCUUUUUGUCUGAUUCAUUUCCGUCUGAUACAGGUAAAAUGGAUUUGAGGUCAAAUCCUUUUCAAGAGGGAGGGAAUGAUGCGCCUCCGAUCGUAGACCCGAUCCAGGAUGAUGUGACCAUGGCUAAGACAUAUGGUUCUUCAACAAAGUACAAACCAUGAUGGAUUAAUGGCGAGCAUACUGAUCUAAAACCAGUUGAAGUGAGAGUAGAUGAGCUGGAUGAGCUGAGUGAGCUAAGUGACACUUCUUUGGAGCUGGAUGAGCUAAGUGACACUAAUUUGGAGCUGGACAAGCUAAGUGACACUACUUUGGAGCUGAGUGAGCUAAGUGACACGAGCUGGUUUAGCUGCUGGGCGAAAUGAGCCUUAUUGAGCUCAAGGAAAAGUUCAUAAAAAGUGCAAUAUGGGUUUGUUUCUUUCCAAAUCCGACCAGCCCUUUCCUCAGUCCAUUCCAAGCUCAUUUUUAUCGAGAUACCAAGAGGGAGUCAACAAAUAAGUCAUGGUCGUGGCUUGCCAAGAGUUCUUCAAAGACUAGUCAAAAUUAAACUUCUCGGUUCUAUAAAAGUCUUUAGUCUUAGUCUUUGUUUAUGUUUUCUAAAUUCUAGUUUUCCACAAUUUAUUUAUGUCUUUCUUUGACCAUUGCUACUAUAAGUAUGUAAUCUCAUUCCAUGAAAAAGACAAACUUUUUUCCCUUUUAUUGAGUUUAUCUCAUUUGUUCUUUGUAGAACACUUCUUGUUUCUUUGUAAAACAAAUAUCAAUGUAUAAAAAUAUCAGAAGAACCAAUACCCACGUGGAUGAGCAGGUCAAUCUUUUUAAUUAAACGUUUUGAUAUAUUUAUAUAAUGUUAUAAAUUAUUUAGAAAAAUAUAAAUCCUACUAUAAAUUGAUUGAGAAUACACAUAAGUGAUUUUUUAUUACGUGCUGAUCAUAAAUAAACUCUUCAAAUUGUUAUAAUUUGAUUGACCGAUGAUUUUUAAUUUUAUUUAUUAUAAUUAUAUCUAAAAGGAAUAAUUCAAAUUACCACUUUCCAAAUAAUCUACAUAAUAUUAGAAAUAAUUAUUUAUGGUAACUAAUUGUUGAAACUACGAAAGAGUAAUAAUGCGAUCAAUUUUUUUAUAUAUUUAUAAAUUACAUAAAAUAAUAAACAAAAAUGUUUAGUUGAAUUGAUAUAAUGAUUUUAUAUUCGUAUAGAAAGAAUUAUAUGUGUAUAUAAAGUAUCAUAAUAACUAUUAAUGUCUAAUAAUUCAAUGCAUACUUUAUAAAUCAUUUAUAAGAUUAUAUAUACAUUUAUAAAAUUAUUUAUAUUGGCUUAUCAGAUGUUUUAAAUUAUUAUAAGAGGUUCUAAGUCAUUUAUAGAAGCUUAUACAUUAAUUUAUAAAAUGUAUUUUGAAAAUUUAUCCUCCUAUUACAAUGUUUUGAAUUUUUUCAUUUUUAAUGGUAAAAUUUCUCAACUAUGUUUACUUAGUGUGGAAACCCUUAAACUAAAGAUCUACUGGUAGUAAUGGUAAUUAUGACAUGUUAGAGUUUAAUUCAUUAAAUAAAGUUAGUUUAGGGGGUUUUUCGUUAAAUACUUAGUUUGAGGGUUUUUACCCAAAACAAACUUAAUUGUUGGGUUUUAACGUUAAAAUUCCUUAUUCUUUCCUUAUUAUCUACUAGGAUCGGUCCGCGCUAUGCGCGGAAUGUGAUGUAUUUGCUUUUGUUAAAAAUAAAAAAAUUGUGUAAUUUUGAUAAGUAUAUUGUUUUCUUUUCUUAAGCAUUAACUUGUUUUUUUCUUAACUUUUUAAAUAUUUAUUAUGUUGCAGAAUAGUAUAAGUUAAAAAUUUCCCUAUGCACCAAUUUUUCGAAUAAUCUUUGAAAUGGUAAUUUAAAUACAUAUUUUUACUGCUAAUAUGUUUCUUAAUAAAGUUUAAAAAAAUUAGUAUAUUUUCUUUGAUAUUUUUGAAGAAUGAAUUUAUAAAUAUAUUAAUAUUAUUUCACUCACAAAUCAUUGAUUUUGAGAUUAUUAGAAAUAAGUAAAGUUUAAAUAUAUACAUGAAAAUAUAUUAUUUUUUACAUAAAAAUAUUGUAUCACCUUGUAUUAUUAUUUUUCUUUAGAAAGACUUUGCAAUAUUAGAAAAUUUAUUAUAUUUUGAAAUUUAAAUGUUAGUUACAUUUAUUAUCUUUUGAAACUUUAAUUAUGGUUUUGUUUUGUUACACACAAUUUCUAGUAGAUAAACAGAAAUAUAAUUACAUACUUUUAAAUUUUUAGUGCCUGGUCCACGCUAUGUGCAUAAUGUAAUUUAUUUUUAUUUAAGUUAUAUUUUUUUGUAAACAAAUUUUGUUUGUUCGUUAAAUUUACAAUGGAUAUUUUGUGAUGGUUUUCAGUUUAUGUCUUUUUAAGUUACAUUAAGAUACCAAUACUACAAAUAUUUAAGCGUGAAGUACAUUAUAACUUGUGAUUUGUUGGUAUUUCUGUUUUUUUUUGUUCUUUGUCUUUAUAAUAUAUGGUGUGUUAUAUACUCUUGAUCUUCUGUGGGUAUUGUAAAUUUUGUUUAUGUAGAUUUUUUAUUUUGUUGGUUGGUAAUUUGUGGGUCCUAGAUUUGUCUAACACAUGCAUGUAUAUGUUUCUACUAUUUUUUUAAUAAUAAAUAAUGAUCUAUUGUAAAAAAUUCUCUUAAAGUAUUAUUUAGGAUUUUAAUUAUUUAUUGAAAAUAAUUGCCUUCAUGUUAGAAAAAGAUAAAAAGAAACGAAUUGUUUUCAUCCAUAUAUUUUCAUUUUUGUUGUGUGUAUAUAUAGCUUACUUGGAAACGUCACCAAAUGUAGUCUAACAAAAUCUUUGAAGUAUUUGAAUUUUUCAAGAAUCAGAUGAAAUAUAAUCUGACAAAAUUGCAUUGCCGAUGGCUCUUUCAAAAGUAGCUUGUUUCUUCCAUCUAUUCCAACCACUCUUCAGUUCUUGGAAACAUCUUUCACUCAAAGCUAACAUAUAACUUAGUCAAAAAUAUUAGUUAACUAAUUAAAAUGGAAAAGUUGAUAUAUUAACUGCAGCAAAAUUACAUGACACCAAGCAUAAAGUAUCAAAAUAAAAGAACAAUAUGAGUUUGGUGUCAAGAAGGUUGCUAACACAAUUCAAGCAGACAGUCUGGUCAUGUUUUAUAUAUUAGCGAUGAAAACAUUUGUUUAGAAUGGAAUAAAAUAAUGGAUUCAAAUACUACAUUAGAGCUACAAAUAGUAUUACAGUGUGAUAUUUUAUUUUUUAAUUGUGAUACAACUCGGUUUGUUGUGUGAACAAAUAGUGGGAAAUAUUUGAGGAGCUUGACCUUCUAACCUUGAAGCUGGAAAAUGAUGAAUAGUUUUAUGCACGUCUGAUGCAUGUAUCUCAGAGACUAUAAUAUUGAUCAUAACCUUUUUGAAGCUGGAAAAUGUUGAAUAGUUUCAUUAGCAAACAGUUCAUGCAUUGUUUAUGCGUUAAGGUAGCUUACUCUAAAGACAACUCUAUCGUAUGUCGUAAUUUAUGUUAAGACACCAUGCAGGAAGACACUGUGAGAUAUAUUUGCAAUCUCCUUUUCUUUCCUUAUCCAGAGCGUUGACAAAGCAAAUGGCAUAUAUAUAUUUUCAAAUCAAUGGGAAAAUAAUUAGUAACUAAAAAGGAACAAAAAUGUUAUUUUAGUAUACAUGGUAACCACCAGUUAAUGAACUCUACACCUCUAGCUGCAACUUCGUCUGGGGAGACUCGGCUUCCACAAAAUAUCAUUGUAACUUUCAAGCAUAAGAAUCUUUCUAACAAUAUAUUAUCGGUAGAGAUAUUGAUCAGAUGUAACCAGUAUGAUGUUCUUACGUACUGUUGAAAAACGAUUGCGGGAAACAGAGCCUUGUAUUCUGUAACGCUUCUUCACCUGACACAUGGAUGAUCACUCAUAAAAAGGCUUCAAAUAAUGAUCAAUCUUAGCUCACUAUUAAGAGCUAAAUUAGUUGUGUACCAUAGUUUCUCUGCGUAGCUCAACAUGAAGGAAAGUUGGGCUGUUUAAGCAUGAAAUGGAAGGACCGUCGCUGCUCCCAGCUUUGGCCACCAUAAGCGCUGCUGCAUCCACUCCAUUAGUCUAUUCUCCACCUCCAAAUAAACCAACAGCAAUUUAUAUAAUUCUACAUUCAAUGAGUUUUACUUACUAUUGUCUCAGAGGCUAGAUUCAAGAAAACAUGCAAUAAGAAGAAACACAAUUCAAAACGAUUUUCUUACUCUAUAACGAUGUAGUCACUGGCAUUUUCCUCGAACGCAUCAUAGAAUUAUACCAGAUCGUUGUAUCCAGAUAACGCCCGUAGGUUUUAACUUAUCUUCUCACAUCCUCUAUAGAUAUUGCAGUUGUCAUCUGCCAAACAAAAAAAAACGGAUGAGCAACAGUCUAUUAUGAAUUAAGCUAACACUCAAGUAACUUGACUGCAUCUUACGAAAUCACAUAAGGAGCAUAUCGGGUGAGUUUAAAGCAUUAGAUAAACAUAGUGUAUAAACAAAGUGUAGAUUACACAAAUCAAAGAGAGCCUUACUUACAAUCUAUGAAACUCUGACCUUUUGGUGAGACAAUUGUUUAGCCCUUAGUGUCUUCAGCAAUCUUGCGAGAAGAUCGGAAAACUUGAGAUUUAAGAUCAAAAAACUUAAAACUUAAAUUAUUAUUUUUUGAGAUUUAAGAUCAGAAAACCUUGGCAUGGAGGAGAAACAUAUCCACUCCAUCAACUCCCAACCGCAUUUGACGUUUGCUUCCCAAAAUCUAAGCAGCCCACCGGUCUUUCAAUCACGAAUAAGAACAGAUGGAUUAAACUGACACAAUUCAUCGGGUCUUGUAGAGCAAUUAAGUACAUAAACUUGACACACAAUAUAUAGAUAUAUAUAGAGCCAAUAAGUGAAACUUACCUGCAAGAGUCAAUCAUUGUGUGUUAUCAAACCAUCGAUAGCCACAAAUUAUAGCCAUGUGUGUGAUUGUCGAAUGUAAAUUAGGAAGAGAAAAUCGAGGUGAGCCAAGACGGAAAAGAAGAGCAGAAAAGUAGGAACUACAGAGAACUUGGUUUGGGGUAGUGAGGGUUCGUGUGUAUGGCCCUAAACUUAUACCAAGUGGUUGAUAAAUUCAUGAAAUAUCUGGAUUUGAAAGAUGAAGAAUCAUCAGAGGUAAAAUGAAACAUUGAGAAAGAUUUUAAAGAUCAUUGAUUGAUCAAAAGUGGGUCAUGGUAACGCAAAACUCGACCUUAGAGAUCGGAGAAGAUAUGAAAGCCGAAGAGUCGGGGGGGGGGGAUCGCAAGCUGAAAGAAAUAGGUUUUGGGCUUGCGAAGGACGAGCUUAUAAUUUUUAGAAAGCCCACCCGAAAUCCAUUUCUAAUCCAGCGAUGUUCACGUGGCAAAAUCGAACUCAUCUAUUGGCUGAUUUAAAAUGAGGACGUGGACAGCCUUUCUACUCCUCAUAUAACCCUUUUAGUAUUAGAUAGAUUAUUUAAAUCCUUAUAGUGGGAUUUAUUUUAUCAAAAAUCAGUUGCAAUCAACUCACGAGAUAUCUUCUUUCCUAAUAUCAUGCAUUUAAUAUUUAAAUAUAUAUAUAUAUAGCAAGAUUUGAGUUACAAAAAUUAUGUAUAUAUUAUAAUCAGAAUAUCUUAAAAUUUUUAUUAAAUGAUAUUCUAUCUCAUAGCUGAAUUAAAAUUUAUUAGAGGAUAAUCUAUCUCAUAGCUUCUCUUGAAAACUAAAUCAUUUAGAAACUUAAACUAAUUUGCUAUAUAAAUAUCAUGCCAUCCCCGUUAGUUUCACGCAUCUAUCUUUUAAGUUUUCAUAUGUUUUUGAUCGUUCUAAUUUAAAUUCUACUUUUGUGAUCUUACGCAGAUGUAUGAUAAUCAAUAAGUAACUCAUAGAUGGAAACACCAUUACUGUUAAUUUUAUUGGGGAUUCUUCUUCUCCUUUUAUUUUUGUUCUCUUCCUCUCCAUGUUGUAUCCUUAUCUAUAUUUUUGCAUCUGUAGUGAUUCAACUAACAAAAAGAGACGACUCUGUUUAUCCAGGAACUGAUCAUCCCUUUCGAAAAAGGUAAUUCUUUUUUUUUUUAUAAAGUUAAAUCACUUAUCAAGAAUAUAAUAUAAGAUGUGUAUGCUAAUUAAGUGCAAUUUAUUUAUUGUGAGUGAUCCUCUUCGGUACGUCUGAGAGCCAAAGGUAAUCUCAAAGCUUUUUAAAAACUUUGAAACUCAUUGACGUUGUCCUAUCAAUUAUAUAAUUUGUUAUCUUUUGGGGAUUGUUUACAUCUUUAAAUAUUUUUGUUAGAAUUACCUCUUUUUUGACUCAAGGCUUAGAGAAGGAAUCCGUAAAUCAUCUCUGCUGUUACAAUGAAACCAAUGAUAAUAAAUCUCAGGUAAUUCAAAUCUCUCUUUUAUAUUUCAUGGCUGAUUUUUUUAUUGGGGUUAUGCGUGAAAUAUUUAUCUUUUCUCAAUUAUAUUUUCUGAUGUUUUAAGAUUAGUGUUAAAUGUGAUAGUUUGAAGCAUAAUGCAUUCUUAGAACACACCUCCAUGAUAAACACUUCUAUGUAAAUUGUGUCAAUUAUGUUAGUGAUUUUAGAUCUGAGUAUUGUGACUGAUGUUCCAAGAGAGAAAGCGUAUCAUCUCAAACCGAGAUUGUUGGGAAAGGUAAUUGGUUUAUAGAUGUAAUUGGAUAAUUGACAUCUAAAGGAUACAUUUUAUUAGAUAGUACCAACCAGUCCUUUUAAACCUUUUGAACUCUAACUUUUUGAACUAACAGAAUAAUCAUGUUUAACCUAUAAUUAGUUCAAAGAGAUGUAUCUAAAGGAUACACUUUAUCAGAUAUAAAUGAUACAUUUUAUUAGAUAGUACCAAGCAGUCAUUUUAAACUCAAACAAUGCCAUGUUCUGAGUUGUACACAUUGUAUUGAUUUUUUUUCCUUGCGGUGUGUAUUCAUAUAGAAGUAGUGAAGUGCAAAUAUGAAGUAAUAUCAACCAAAAUUAAGAAAAGUCUUUUAAAAGUAGAGAUAAUCACAUGGGUCUCUCUUGAACAUGACAAACAACCAGCAGUUUUGCCAAACCCGAAUUUCUUAAACAGGUUUUCUACUUUCUUUUUUCUUUUUAUUUAGUUUCACAUGAUGAAAAGUUUGAAUCACAGACUCUUGACAUUUUAAAAUUUAUAUUAUUUGUUUGUGUAAUGGUGCAGAGGUUUCAAUGAGACCGGCUUAUCGUUCUUCCAAGAAAGUAAAGGACUAUGACAAGCUUGAAGCUGAAGUGAAGAAAAAUAGAAGGAUGAUAAGCUUCAAGGAGACGCUGCUUCGAACAAGUUCUUCCGUGAGAUAUGUUUGAAUUAUGAUGAGGAUAUGAGGAGUGUUAGAGCAAAUCAUUUGUGAGUAUCUAUCUAUCUAUAUUCCUAUUUAGUCUUUCUUCUUUAAUGGAGAUUACAAUGUUUUUGGCAUUUUGAUUGACUCUUUUGCAGUUUUGAUUACUGGAAAUAUGUUGGUGCUAAAAAAAUCGAGAGCACUCUUCAUGAUGAUUUGGCGCUCAAGACAUGAGAAAUAUGAUCUUAUAUGAUGUGUGGGUUUUACUUUAAUCUAGACAAAACUCGAAGCCUUGGUCUUAAAGUUUAGUUUCUCUAUUUUAUGAACUUAAUGUACUUUGUAUUUUCCAUAACUCAUAUUGUUUAUACGAAACACUGAAAUUUUUAAUCUAAAUGUUCUAAUGUAUUUUUUGUUUAUAUAAACAUAGUAUAAAUAUUAAUAUGUAACAUCGAAUCUUUCAUAUUAACCACAUACAUGUAACAUAAAUAUUUAAUAGUUGUAAAUAUGUAAUUAUCAAUUUAAUAUUAAUGUUAAUGUCCGUAUGCGUGCAGACGGUCCACCUAGUUUUAAUUAAAAGACAUCAUUCAUACAUAAAUUUUAAACGAAAACACAGCCUUCAGAAAUUGAUAAAACAGAAAGUAUUACGAUGAUAUUGACGAAUCAAAGUGAUUUUAAAGCAAUUGGGCUCUCUUUUUUUGUUCAACAGCAAUUGGACUCUAAAAUGCUAUAUAAAGACAAAUAACUCAGAAUGUUGUUUUUGCUCUUUUUCUUUGUUGUUUUCUUUUUAAAAAGCUAAACACUAAUGUAAACCCCAGAGAGUACACAUUUGACUGAGCAGAGGUUGAUAUCAACUCGAGGAUGAAGCUGUCGUGGCUGCAUCGACCUCUUUUUUAACGCCUUUAGUGUGACGUGAGGUAGUUGCCACUGUUUUACUGCCUUUUGCUCCAUCAUCUUCUUCCUCUUCUUCAUAGUACGACCCUGAAGACCUCAUUUCCUUCACCUUCCGAAACUCAUCGUAAUGUACUCUUCUGAGUUCGUUGAAACGUGCGUUUUUCUCACCAUCCACAUCUGUGUCAUUUGCACAAAAACAGAAACAUAUGGAGAUGAGAUCAAACAAAAGAAUAAAAACAUGAAAGUUAAUAUUUUGUUUGGUUUCGAGGAGGAACACCUUCAUCAUCUUGAUCCAUCGGAUCUGCUUCAUCCUCCUCAGAAGAGCUCCAGCCACCAGAACCAGACCCCUGGCUAGUAUUCCUACUUGAGGAAGCUGCUGCCUCGUUGAGAACGUUCCUCAGUUCUUCGGCACGUUGCAUAUCAUCAACGCAUUCGUCAAACGACCUGCCUCUAGGAGACAGAGAACCUGACACAAUCAAUCAGGAAACACCAACAAAGAGAAAAGACAAAUUUUAAAUUAUGUUUCGGAUUGAAAAAUAUCACCUAGAAAGACAAAUUUUCAAAUCAAGAAACCAAUAGCGCAAGCACAAGUUUCCUCCAGAAAAGAGUAGUAAUUGUUUAGCUUCCUAGAUUCAUAUAAUAUUCACUUACACAUACUUUAGAUCUGAUUAGGUUAAGUUGACGACAAGCAUAAAUACGCAAAUUUGGCAUAAGCAUAUGGAUACUCAAAAGAGUAGCAUAGUUCACAAAUUGUGCACACACACAUAUAUAUAUAUAGACAAAAACAGAAAGCAAAAGAAAGAAAAGUAGAGAAACCAUCAUCAUCGAUCAUAGGGUGGUAGGGUGUCUUAGGUUCAGUGAUCUUCUGCCUAACAGGCUUGUUAGAUUCAAUUUCCACUAUAUUAGCUUCAUCCCAUUGCACACGCCCCCUGCCCACAAAAAUGCUGAAAUUAAAGCUCAUAGACGCUUAUGCAAGGUAAGGUUCUGAAUCAGCAAGCAAGCAAGCAAGCAAAAGAGAAAGCAGAGAAGGAGAAACGUAUACUCCAUACUAAGCUGGUUGUACUCUAUUUCCAGCUAAUCAAGCGAAUAAACAAUCCAAUCUGCUAACUUUUCAAGAUUAACAUCUUAAAGAGAAUCGAACCCUAGCUACCACUUAUUAAAGAUGGAAUUGAAGAAGAGCAUAGAGAAUGCGAAAUCGAUCCAUCCAUUGAGCAUAGUAAAUUCCGGAACUUACUUUUUUGAAUCAGCCAUCUUCUUUUAACUUCAACCAACUUUAUUUCUCGAUCGCGAAGCAAAAGUUUUGAAGACCUAGGCGGGGUGUUAAGAGAAGCAGCCGUCUGUUUCUUUGACUUUUGACUAGUAUUGUUGCUCUUUAGAUCUCGCCACGUGUCACCACGUUACAACUCGAGAUGGAAACGCGUUGGAGUAAGGGUAGUUUUGGAAUUCGGGCUUUUGAAGGGACGAAGAUCGAAUCGAAGAAGACCAACAACAACAACAGAGUUGAGUGCAAAACCAGAUCUUUCUUUCAUUCUCCUUCUCCAGAUCUUCCUCAGACAUGUAUGGAUCUUCUAAUCUGCUUUUAGGGAGCUUCUCUUUGUCCUGAUCAUGUUUCGAUAAUGCGACUGGGUGAUAGUGUGAUUCACCUUCUUUUUUUUCUAGCGAUCUACCCAUUUUUAUUUUGUUUAGAUUUGUGUUUGGACUCUGAUCUAACUUUUCGUAAUGAUUGUGUCUGGUUUUGGUUAUUUGAUGUCUCUUGCUACUUGGGGGUAAUGUGUUAGAACUAGUGUAGCAUUGUGUUUGUGUAUUCAUUUUCUUCUUGUGUUUAUACUCUGAUAAGGAAGCCAAGUUAUGUUCUUGAUUUCUCGGAGAAUGAUAUGCUGAUUCCUAGCUCCAUUUUUUUUUAAUUUUUUGGUUGGGUGAAAGAUCAAAAGGAAGUGAUGUUUUCUCUAAUGCAUGGAUUGUGGACUUACAUGUUCAGCAAAACUGAGUUCCAUGUCCUCAUUCUUGGUAUCGACAAAGCUGGCAAAACGGUAUUUAUUUUUGUAUCUCUUCUUUCAAAAAAGGCUCAUCUCUAAUGCAGUACUUGGACUGGUGUAGACGUUUCUGGAGAAGUUGAAAACGAUAUACUCAAUCUCAGAAGGUCUCCCACAUGAUCGGAUUGUUCCUACUGUUGGCCUUAAUAUUGGUCGUAUUGAAGUCGCCAAUGCUAAAAUCGUCUUUUGGGACCUUGGAGGUCAGGUUAGUUGGAAUUUGGAAAUAUUCAAUCCCUUCACUUUUUGUCUUUGUAAUCUAAUAAUAACCAUUCCUUAUGGCAGCCUGGUUUGCGUUCGAUUUGGGAGAAGUAUUAUGAAGAAGCACACGCAUUGAUAUAUUUGAUCGACGCAGCUUGCCCAUCCCGCUUUGAAGACUCAAAAUCUGCUCUAGGUGAGUUUUGCACAUUCAAGUUGACUUCAAACAGCAAUUAUGAAGCUAAUGUUAAAUUUGCCUUUCCACCAGAAAAAGCACUGCGGCACGAGGAUUUGCAAGGAGCGCCUCUUUUGAUAUUGGCAAACAAGCAAGUAAGAAACUGCAUUGCCUCCUUUUGUUUGCUUAAUAUGUUGUUUCUGAUAAGUCUUGAAUCUGGUAACCGAUGAGCAGGAUCUCCCAAAUGCUGUCUCAGCUGAGGAGCUAGACCGAUACCUGGAUCUAAAGAAACUAGACGAAAGGGUGUACAUGUUUGAAGCAGCUUCUGGAUACGAUGGGUGAGUAAAAACUGACUUUAGCUACGCGCAGGAACCUUGUAGCUCUGUUAGAGAUGCUUAAAUGUUAUUGUUUGAGCAGGCGAGGAAUCAAAGAGAGUAUAGAAUGGCUGGUGGGAGUGAUGGAGAGAAGCAAAAGAACGGAAGCAUUAAGAGCCCGUGCAGGAUAUGUUCCUGUCCCAACUUCCUAGACUUGGAAAGGAGCGCUCACAAACUCAAUUCUCAAACCAACUAAACUGUUUUCUGUGAGAAACAUUUGUAGAUAAAAAAAAAAAAAAAAAAAAAAAGGAAUGGACCAGAAUCGUGCAAUGUUUUGUGUUAGCAUCAGAUCACUUGAUAAGUAGGGCUAGUAAUAUCAUUAUUAUAUUGCCUUUACAUCCUUACCAAUGCUAUGAUUCAGAUUGAGACUUAAGGUAAUAACUUCCCAAGUUGUAAUAAAGUUUCUUGAAAACAAAGAACAGAGUACAUCAGUUUAUCUCUUCCAUAGCUUACAAGACAGGAGGAAACAGGCAGAACUAAGAAGCAAUCCAGAGGUAUCACUUUGCACUUGCAGCCUAAUUUGUUCCUGAAUCAAACAAGUAACUCAGAAAUGUCAGAGCAAGUUUGAGGCUUAAAGUUUCAGAGAAGCAAACAAGAACAGAAGAGAGAGGUUAUACCUGAAAAGAGAGGCUUAGGUCUGGUCUUAAACAAGAUCUUUGACCUUAUAAUCCCGACAACUUGCAGUUCCGUUUCUUUCUCUGAAGAACCAUCUGUGCACUUUUGAAGCUUCUUCAAAACCAACAAUGGUUUCUUCAGAGUCACCUUGGAGCCUGUGAGUUCAUGGUAACCCACCGUGAACGUGUAACUUUCCUGCAACCAUCAACAGGAUAUUCACUCCACGGCUAUCCACAGCUACGAUUGAAACGAAGACGAACUGAGUUAAAAGAAGAGAACCUGGGAGGAAUCGGAGUGACAGAGACGACCGAUCUCGAGAUUCUGAACAGAACCUUGGAACGAAGACUGAGAGUCCACGACGCCUUGGAGUUCUACGAUCGUCCACUCGCUACACCCCUCUUCUCCACACCCACACUUCACUCUAAUCUCCAUCCUCUUCCCUCCUCUUCCUCUUCUAUAUUUCUUUUUUAUAUAUAUAUGUUACUUUUUUGGCGGCAAAAAGACAGAUCUUUCGCGGGCUUCUUUGUCCGUUUUAGAUGACGUCACAAUUAUCUCUAGUAACAAGUCAAAGAAGCUUCCAUCGUUACAUAGGGAGAUAAAAAAAAACAAGAUCAUUGCAUGCGUUUACGAGCUUUUAUGAGUCUCCAGGUUCUGUCGAUAUAUCAAACUUUGUAUAUACAGAACACAAAGAAGUAGGCAUUGCACAUGGAUGAUGGAUCUUACUUUAUAUCCAUGGCGUCUUUAAACUACUAAUACUAGUACAAAGGGAAAACAACCUAGUCUUAGAUCUCCUCCAGGUUUCUCCAUGGUCUUGUUACUACACUGUUGAACUACAUAAUCACAGUUGCCUACCUUCAUGUUCCUGUCUUGCUGAUGAUGAUGUCAUCGUCAUCCCUUCAUGUUUUGGUUUUACAACCGGCUCAUUUGACCCUAUAGGGAUUGCUCCUGUCAGGGUUUUUAUAGCAAAGUCGAUACACGGGUCUUUCCAGAUAUCCAUACCCGGUGCUGAUUCACUAGACACUCCAGAGUCUGUGUUGGCAUUUUGAGGCGUCUCUGGGAGAAAUGUGACUCCUUUCUGCUUGGCAUCAGAAGAGAUUGAUGCAGUGUUGUUGGGAAGACGCAGCGUGUCUCCGGUCAGUGUUUUGAUAGCAAAGGCAAUGCAAGGAUCUUUCCAAAGAUCUGCAAGAGUUGCUGCAGAGGAGGAGGAGAAGCUGUUGGUAUUAUUACUCUUCUCCAUCACUUCUGAGCAUGUGCCUCUAACAACAGAUGAGUCAAAUAAGUUGCUGCUUAUUUUAUUUCUCCUUUGUGUGACAUUUCCGUUAUCAUAAGGAUGCGGAUGUGGAUGUGGAUGCUUUUCUUUAUUUGAUGAUGAGAUCUCAUUCGCUUUCGGACUAGUAACUUUAUUAGCAUUUGCACUCCACCGUCCCAAUCUUUUGCCUCCUGCUGUCUUCUCACGCUUUGUUGCAGAAGUUUUGCAAGAUAAUGGUGACACUGGCGACAUUUCUUCCUUCUGCUUGUAACCCUCAAGACGAAAAACUGGAUUCAGUUCCACCUGGGAUGUCACCUGUGGCAUCUUCAUCUUCUUCUUGUCUCCAGAUUUACCGAUCUUUUCUAUCUGCAUUUCCAAUUCUAAUUCUGCACUCACACGAUUCAUGCUUGUAGAAGAAGAAGAAGCAUUUGGUUUUGGAGAUGAAUGUUCAGUAUUAUAGCUUUUGGCUUCUUCCUUAGUGAGAGGUAUAUCCAUCUUUUUCAAUCCGCUGGUAACAGCAAUAGGAUCCACAGGUUGCAUGCACUUUCCGGCUGUGCCAUCAUCAGGAGGUGCUACUGGUUGAGCUUUGGUUCUUGUAUCCAGUUCAGGGGUAGGUUCAAGCUCAAUACCAGCUAAUCGUUUUGAUGCUCUUCUUGCUACAGUAUUAGCUAACUCAUUCUUCUUCACUAAACCCUUACUCCUCGUGAUCCCUUUUUCAGCAGAAUCUCUUACAUCUUCCUCCUUCAUCACAGAUCUCUUCUGUGAACUUUGUGAACUAGCACUUCUCAGUCUGGGUUUUACAUGUACGUCUACUUCCUCAGUCUCAUUUGCUUUAGUUUGGCUCCUAGUAACACGUUUCGCAAUGGGCUCAUUCACAUCUUUCUUCUUCACCAAAUCCUCAAGAACUUGUGAGGUUACACUGCUCACUUCGGAAUUCAUUUUACCUGCAAGUAUAGUAGAAUGUUGACAUUUAACAUUACUCACUCCAUAAGAGAAAGAAAGCAUUUGUGCUUACAAUUCUCAGAAUGUUCACCAGAAGAAGAAGAUGAGUUUCUUCUCCGUUUACUAUUAUUAACAUCAAUGUUCUUCUCCUUUUCCAGUAAAGCAUCAGCAGACUCCAGAAGAAGCUAAAACCGAAUGAAGAAAAAGGAUCACAAAAUCAACCAUUCAACUAUACAAUACAAAAGAAGGGAGUAAGUAACUGACAACGUUCUUGCCAUUUCCGGAAUCAUCUUCUUCAGUAUCGCUUUCCUUGAACUUGCGUGCAUAAUGCCCAAUAUUGCCAGUCUCAACAUAACGUGAUGCAGCUCUGAAGGAAGGGAAGAUAUACUCACUUUGAGGGUCAAUGAAGAACUGCAAAAAGGAAAUGUCAAAAGAGGAGUUUCCAUGUAGGAGAAAAUGCUAAAAGACACAAAGAGAGUACAAACAGGAUCUCUUCUUUUACGGCCUGAUCUGUUUGAUAUAACAAGCUUCUUGAUCCAUCCUUCAGGUAACCCUUCAGCUGCAGAUUUCUCAACUAUAACCUGUAUCACUUAGACAGAGAGACUUUUUCCUUUAAGAAAAAAACACGUAUCAAAGUCACCAUCAAAGGACCCCUUUUAAGUUAAAUUGAUUCAGUAAAGCUAAAGCAUUGCAUGCAGGAGAUGAGAAAAGAUUUCACAUUUUGCCAUGAUUACAUAAUCAUAAUAACAUGAGAAACUAAGAGUGAACGAGAUUCAAAGAAUAAGACACUGCAAAAGAGCUAAAAACAAAACCAAACAUGCAGAAGACAAGUCAGAAAAAGGGUGGAAAUCACCUUUCUCCCCUUGUUAUUUACUCUGAUUUCCACUUUCCUUUCCGCCGAUAACCCAUCAGAGAUCCCUUCUCCAUCCAUCUCUUCUCGCCUCAAAACCACUUCCUUUUUUUCUCAACUCAAAACGCCAAAACCCAUCACGAAUUCAACGUCAUCAAGAUCGGAACCCCUUUUAUUCUCUCUGUCCCUCCCUCCACUAAGCUGAAUAAUAGUACGAAAAUAGGUUUAAUGGGGAGGAAGAGAGGAAAGGGUUUACACGUGUACAAGUGAAGAGAUUCGAUGGUGUGAUUCCCGAUUUGAGAGGAACACCAAACUCAGUCCACCACCAGCAUUGCGAGUCUUCUGGACACAACAUCCACUAUUUUCUCUCUUUUUUUUUUUGUUCUUUUGUCAAACCUCUCUUCUCCUGCUAAAUUUCUCAAAUCCACUGUAAACUUUACUUCGUUUUUUCAUUUUUAUCUCUGUAAAGUUUAGUUUUUUUUUUUUUUGGAACACUGUAAACUUUAGUUAUUUGUUCCAUUUUUCAACUGUCCGAAAUGAAUAAAUCUAACACUAGAUUUAUAUAAAUAAAUAGAAAAUUUUCCUCUGUUUUGGAUUUUUUAUUUCUUUCUUUGGUCAUUGGUCAAAUUGUUUUUUGAAAAUCCUUCAUGAAUGUGUAUUUAAAAAUGCAUUCUUAGAUGUAUAUUUUGUAAAACCUUUAUGAAUAACCCGAAUAUGAAUUCAUGUCUAUUUAGUAAGAUAUUCUUGAAUAUGUAUAACAUUUUUCUAAAGUUUAGAACUUUCUGUGUAUUAUAUAUUUCUGAAUUGACUUAUAUGCAUAUCUAGAAAAAUAUUACUAAAUAUAUACUAUUUUCUAAAAUUUACGAAAAUAUUUCUAAAUAUGUAUACAAUAUUUAUAAAAUUUAGGCAAACAUUCAUAGAUGUUGUAUAAAUGAAAAUCAAAAUAUGUAAAUAUAUACUUUAGAAAUGAUUUUCUAGUUUUUAGAAAGAUGUCAUACACAUUUACAAAGGCCUUCCUAAAUAGACAUACAAGUUACAUUCAGGAAGCCUAAUUAGAUAUUUAUGAAGGCAUUCUUUAAUUUGAAAAAAGUUUUUCAAAAAAUAACUUUGAAAAAAUAUGUGCAAAUCUAUUUUUGGUGAUUUUGCCUCUUUAAUGAAAUUUAUUUUGUUCAUUUUGACACUUGUAUGCUAGUUUGAGAACAAAAAUAUAUGUUGGAACUAUUUGAGGCUAUUGUUUAAUAAGUUGAAUGUCUCUGUCAGUUAUACAUAAAUAGUUAUUUUUACGUUUUGUAUAACAAAUAAUUUUACGACAAAAUAAAUAGAGAGAAAGAAAUAUAUUGAAACACACAUAUUUGAGAUUAAAAGCUGUUACCUAAUAUAUGUACUGAAUAUUAGUUGAACAUUUUUAGAAAUAUGUAUUUUACUUAAUUAUAAUUAAGAGCUAUUUAGGUAGUUAUUCUAUAAGAAUGACAAAAUUAUCAAAAAGGAAACCAUAGGAUCAAAUGUUGGAUUUAUAGGAUGUAAUGUGUCAAAAUUACCAAUAUAAUAUGUGUAACUAACAAAUUACCCUCGAUAAACAAAAAAUAACCAACACGAUUCUAUUUGGUUUCAGCGGCAUUAAAUGUAGAAUCCGGGAAAUAUUUUAUGCAUAUACAUAUAGGUGUAUACAAAUAUGCAUGAGAUAUAUGAUGUAGUGGUUACAGUUUAUAUAAUACCCAAUAUAACCGGCUAAUGUAUAUCGCAAUUAUUCCAUAAGUUCUUGUACUUCUCCAUCUAACCUCGACUAAGAAUAAUUCGGUAAAUAGCAUUUCUCCUUUUAGAAGAACCGAAGGUAUACUAGAAAACUUAGUUAAAUACAAAUUUUAGUUGUUUCUGGUUGUUUAUGGUGAUAUCUUUGUUGAAGUUGAAACAUUAAAUAGCAACUAAUUAUUACGCCGUUUCUCAAAAUAUUGGUUUAUAUUUUCCAGAUGGUGAAGCUUGUCGUCUAUGGCGUAGUGACUGGGAAAAGGAGUGUAAUGGUGACUGAGUUUUAGUAGCAGACAAAGGUUUCGGCGUGAUGCUCAUAAAGAACGAGUCAUUUGAUAUGUUAAUAAGUAUUGUACGUAUGUGUUAUGUGUUAUAGGAGAGGAAUCUGGUGGUUGUUAGCUAUCAACUGCCGAGUGUACGCUGGUCCCAGCGGGUAGAAAGACACAUCUAAUAAGUGUUCAAACAACAUCACAUAUUGCAGUCAUAUUGACUGUCCCGUAUUGGUUCAGUUAACUUAAUUUUUGUGUCACUGUCGGUGCACAUAGCAAUGUUACGUUUUAAUAGCUGAGAGAAAUCUAUUGUUGGUAGAACGUAUUAUCAUUGAUGGGAGAAAGAUGAAUAUGGAAAACAUGCGAUGAUAGUAAGUUCAUAUUUAGUAAUAACAAACAUACGAUUUACAUGACAUACAAAAUUCCUGCAAGACUUAUGAACGAAACCAGAAUUUUUGUAGAAUGAAGGUGUUGGAAGAUAUAUUUAGCGUGGAGGAAAUGAUUAUUUUGAACCGGGUUGCCCUAGAACUGGACUAGGCCAAGUGCUCAUCCACAAAUAAUGGUGAAGAUGAUGAGAAACAAAGGAAAAGAGAUGGAUGAUGAGGAUGAAAUGGUUGAUACUCUAGGAUUUAAUGGAGUCAACACAAAACAUGUGAAUUCCAACACAACUAAGAGUAUUGAAACAAUUUAAUUAUUGUUCACUUGAUCAGGAUAAUCAAUAUUAUGUUGGUUAUGUUCUAUAUUUACCUAAUAAUGUGAAAGUGAAUAUGUACCCACUGGAGACGUAGGUUUGGACUUAAUGGUUAGAACUCAUGAUGAAAACAGAUCAACUAGCUUUGACGGUUUUGAAAAAUUAUAUAGUGUAUUGGAAGAAGAUCAUGGAGGAUUGUUUAAUGGCGUGUGGGAAAGGAACUUCAAGCAAAUGAGGGAGAAACAAUGGCAGAACAAGUUUUUUUAAUUUAUUUUGCAUAAAUGACUAAUAUCUUCGGAUAGUGAGUGGUAGGUAAAAUGGCAUAUAAAAGCAUGGCGAGCCAAGCAUAUUUGAUGUGAAUCUCUUUGUAAGUGAGAGUCUUCUUAUUCAAUAUUCUCAACACAGAUGCAAUACUAAAUUUCUUUAACAUAUCAGAUAAUAAGCGUCAAUAGGAUUUCUCCAAAAUAGAUUCUUCAUUUUUUGUUUUUGGAAACUUUGGGGUAUUUUGCACAAGACAAGCUAGUAAUGAUAUCAUAUUCUCGCAAAGAAAACCUGAUAGGUUUCUCUGAAUAUAAGAAUCACUACGCAUACUUUUUCUUAACUUUAAGCUGUCAGAAUAUAAGAUAUCGCCCUACAUGCCUAGAAUGAUAUAAGCGAGUUCAAAGAAUUUACUAAAUGGUGAGUUUCUUAUAACAUCGACCUUAUCCUCUGCCCGUGCAUUUAGAAUAUGACUGAUCCUACCUUGUUUGUAGUAUGGAUUGACCUUUACACCAACCGGUUCUUCAUCAACAUAAAGAAGCCUCUCUAAUAAAUCAAGAAUUUUUGUUUCUUCAGAAGAUACAUGGAUGCAUAAACUGAUCCUACCUUGUUUGUAGUAUGGAUUGACAUUUAGAAUAUGACUGAUCCUACCUUGUUUGUAGUAUGGAUUGACCUUUACGACAAUUCCUCUGCAAAAAAAAAAACAAAGGAAUUUAAAACUACACAACAAAAGAUAAUAUGAACUCGUGUAUAGCAUAAUUUCUGAAAUCCUAUAAGGUUCCCUUAAUAUUUUCAAAAAUUAUUUUGUACACAAUAUCAAUCAUUUUUGCAACUUCAAAAACUUUACCGCCACUAUUAGAUUCAAGAUUAGUCUUUUUAAUAGAAUAAAAACUAACUUAAGAGAAGAAAAAUGGAAAAUGAAGUAUCGGUUAUUUUGUGGAUCAGUGGAAGAAAAAUGGAAAAUGAAGUAUCGGUUAUUUUGUGAAUGUUAGGACUCGGAUUAAACAGUUUCUAAAUUUCAUUUUUCACCAAUCAGGCUUUUAUAAUUUUAAUGGUUCUAAAGUUCUCAACGCCAUUUUCUAUUUCUCUUUUAUUUUUAUUGUAAAAAUAUUUUUUUCCUCUUCUCCACAAUAACUAAAGUACUUAUUCUACUUUAUAUUAAUUUUAUUAUAAAAUUUAUUUUAAAAAAUAAUCAUUUUUUUCAUUUUAUUUUGAGAUCCAUAUUGUAUAAAUUUUGGUUUCAUAUAUGUUUUUUCUUUAUUAUUUGCGAAAUUGUGUAUUUAUAAUGAAAACUUUAAAAUAUUAUUUACUGUUUUUUUUUUAUUUUUGAUUAAUAAUUUUUAUUUUUGGUAAAAUAAUACUAACAAUUUUAACAGCAAAAUCUCUAUAGCCAAUAGUCUAAAGCAACAACCUAAAACGAAAGUUCUUACCAAUCAAACCCUAAACUGCUUAAAUGGGCUAACCCUGGUAUCAUCCCUAAUCCUUGAUUAAAAUAGAGUUAACAUAGGGCUGAGUUAAAAUAUAGCUGAGUUAAAAUAGGGUUGGGUUUAUAUUAAACAAGAGAGGGUUAGGCCUUGGCCCUUGAUUUAACUUCCCUACAAAUUUGUUGCAGAAAUGAUUAUGGUGUUCAUCUAAAGUUGAUAUUAUGUAAGAAGAUGUGGAGAUCGUGGUUGUAACAGCUGAGACCCUUAAAACAAUUUUCACUUUCCAUUUUAGGUAGAAAAUAAAUAAACUCAUGUAUUUUAAUUAUUUUUCUUUUAAAAAUGAAACAAAAAGAAGUGGCAAUAUAUGAUUGGUUGAGUGACUUAUGCUUCUUUUACAUACUAAAACACAUGUCACAUGGCGAAUCAAAUAGUGACACAUAAAAUUUGUUUACAAAAUUUUUAAAAAUAUAGCAUGUUUUGAUCUAAAAUAUCUUUUCAAAUAACUGCAAAAAAAAAAAAAUCUAAACCCUAUUUCCUAACCAUCAUCACAUGUUUAGCAUUUCCUGCUAUUUUUGAUAAGACAUUGUUAUUUUAAAAUCAUAUAAUUUGGAAGCUAAUGAAAUUUACCUGUGCCGUCGUGCGUGCUUUAGCAUGAGAGGUAAUAGAUAGGUUAUUAAUGGGAGGGGCAGGACAAGGGCAGAUAAUAUGUGUUGCAGGAGAUCUGAUUUUAAAUCUUCAUUCACUAUAAUUUAUGUUUCUAAAAGUAAAAGGCACGACAACUGCAUAUUUGAUUAUUUUUUUUGUCUUUUUGUGCAAAAGCAGUUCUCAUGCGUCAUGUUCUAGGCUUCGAAUGGUAAAAGUAGUCAAGCGGGACAAAUCAUGCAGAUCAAGCAGAACAAGUGCAGAUCAAGCGGAUCGUGCAGGAAAAAAGCAUAUCAAACCGCUCAAAUAAUUUAUUAUAUCUUAUGAAUGAAAAAAUCAGUUCAAAACUAUAGAUCAUAUAUUAAAACAAUGAAAAUUACACCUAGAUAUCUAAACAAAUAUCUUAGAUACUAUAGGAUCGGCCGAAAUGUUUUAUAAGAUACUUAUACUACUUUUAUAUUCUUUUUAGGUGAUCAAGAUUUUCUUAAGAAAAUCGGUAGGUUACACUAAUAUUGAACUUUUGGUAAAAUUUACCACCGGGAAACUCUCUACCAGUGGGUGUAAGAUAUUUGAAACGGUAAUUAGUCAAGAAAAUUAUUUGAUCGUACAACUCAAUAAAUACACGUUCUCGGUUAAGAUUUUGUUUAAAAUUGUCUUCUCUCAAUAUAUUUACAAAAUUUCAAUCAUUUACCUAUAUGUUAACUAUUUUAAAACAUAAAAAAGUAUUAACUACUUACCCUUGUUGAUAUUUAUGUAGGAAAAAUUAUAUCUUUUUCCUUUGAAAAUGUUGUGUUUUGUCGGCGAUUGAACGUCAUGCUUAUAAUUGUAAAACAACACAAACAGUAUUACUGUAAACUAUAGUUUGAGCUAAUCAUUUUACAAUAUUUAUAAAAUCAGAUAAAUAUACUUUAAAGGUAAGUGUUUGUAACAAAAUUAUUUAUUAUCAAAAAGAAAAAAAAGCAGAUCAACACCACCAAAUGUUAGCAGAUGAGAUCUGUAUGCAGAUCUCCCAUUUUUCCACAAAAAGACAAAAAUAUUGAAUUGGAUGCAGAUCCUCCACUUAAACUGCUUUUGCAAACAGAAAAACGUGAAUGGUGAAUGUAUUGCGGGAGAACUGCACGUGCAGGAGAACUGCACUUGUCCUGCCCUUCCAUUCAUAACCUUGCUUCGAAUGGUAAGCAGAUAAAAAAUACGCAGAUAAAAAAUACGUAGAUUUAACUUAAAACGCAGAUCAAGCAGAACAAAUGCAGAUCAAGCAGAUCAUGCAGAACAAAUGCAGAUCUAACUUGUUAAACGAGUUUAUCGAAUUAGUGUAUUUAACCAAAUGUUUAAAAUAAUUUUUUUAAUUAAAUAUCUAAAACGAAAAUACAAAUUCUUAUCAAUUUUUUUUUAUUAAUUUAAUAAAUACAAAGAAAUUUUAAACAUUAUAUAAAAGGUAAACACAAUUACAAAAAAAAACCGUAAAACAAUUAUCAUUCUAAUAAAUAUAUUGAAGCUUAAAAAUUCUAUAAAAUUCAUUAAAAUGAUAAAGAGUAUUCCUUGUCCCUUUAAUUAUUUUUAUAGUCCAAACUAAAAUCUAAUUAGGAUCCAAAGACGUUAAUUAGGGCUGGACAUAAAAUCUUUAACCUGAAUUUCGAACCGAACCCGAACCAAAAAAACUGACUCGUACCAAGUCCAAAAUGUAAAAAAAAAUACAUAAACGGGUUUUGUAGGGUGUUAUAAAACAUAUCUGAACCGAAAAUGUUAUUAAACAUAACCCAAACGCGUGAAAAAUAUAUGAAAAAACUGAUCUGAAUAUCCAAAUUUAUAAAAAAUAUAAAUAUUUAAAAAAAAUAUAUAUACUUAAAAUAUUAAAUUUCAUAUUUAUUUUGAUAUGAUAUCUAUCAAUAAAUAUUUAAAAUUUAAAUAAGUAUCUUAAAUACUUCAUUAUGUGUAAAUAACUAUAUAUUUUCUGUUUUCUUUUAAAUUUAAAUUUUAUUUUGGGUAUAUCCAAACCGAUCUGAUAUAAUCUGAAUCCGAAAAUUGGUUUUCAUAUCAUUUUGCUCAACCAUAAAACUAAUAUUAUUUUAUUUAUGUUAAUUAUUGUCAAUUAUAAAAAAUAAACUAUAACAUAUAUGUUUCUUUAACUAAACAUUAUAUAAUUCUUUAGUAUAAGCAUAUAUUCUUAGAUUAUAUAAAAAAUAAUAUGCAUGACUAUUUAUUAAUUAAAAACUAUAAAAUUGUGAAUAGUAAUCAACAUAUACAUAAGUUUCUAUUAAAAUAUUGAUAGAACAUAUAUUAUAUGCUUAUAAAUUUUUUAAAAAUAAAAUACUAAUAAAACGAAAAGCUGUAACAAUAUAUUAAAUGUACUUUUGAAAUGAAAUAUUAUGUGAUUUAAAAGUGAAAGAAACAAAUUAAAUGAAUAUAUUUAUUGGUAGCAGGAAAAGAAAAACAAAAACAAAUUAUUCUCAUCGGCCCUCGGCAUGUUUUUGGUGUCUUUCUUUUCUCUCUUGCAGAUCAUUAAAUCAAUGAUCAAAUUUAUUCUGCAUGCAGAUUUUUUUUUAUUUUAUGAUUUCCUUUUGUUCUUUGUUUUAAAAGUUGAAUGGAGAAAAAAAAUUGCAGGUCAAUCUGCAUUGAUAAUGGUCUAAAUAUCCACUUUUUAAAGAGGUUUACCCCUUGUUUCUCUCUUCUAACCAAUAAAAGUAUCAAAUACAGUAGAUUUAAUUCUUUUUUUGUCAACAUAUAGUCGAUUUAAUUCAAAAUACGUAUGUAUUUGGUAUAUUUUACACUUUUAUUUUCAAAAAAUAAAAAUAUAUUUUUAUUGUUAUAUAUCUAUGGGGAUUUAAUUUGUUAGCAUUAGCGUAACUUAGAGUAAUUAGAAGACUUUAGAUUUCUUUCAAAUCAUGCGUAAGACUAAUAAAAUCAUAACUCAUUAGAAAGAUGAUUGCUUCAUAGUACCAAACAAGAGAGAAGAUGAUUGCUUCUUCAGUUACAAAAAAAAAAGAUGAUCGCUUCUUGUUACUUUUUCUUUAUAAGUCAAAUUUCCCAAAAUUUACUGUUCAAACAGAUAAAAAGUUAGCAAACAGAGUAGAAGAGGGAUGAAAGAAUGAAUGAGGAUCGAAACUAAUAUGCCUUUUAAGAUAAAACAGUUAUAGAAAAACAUGGGAUCAAUUAAAUUAAAGCCUUGAAAAUAGUAACCACAUCCCGUAAUAUAAGGUUGUUUCAAAAAAAAAAAAAUUAAACAUAUGUUUUAAUUGAUGUAAAUUAAAAUAAGAUACCAUCACUUUUAUUGAAUAAGUGCUAAACGAAUACUCCCUCCGUUUUUCAAUAUAAGUCGUUUGAGAGAAACUUUUUUGUUUCAAAUUAUAUGUCGUUUUCGGUUUUCUAUGUAACAUUUAUUAAUAAUUAAUGUUAUCUGACCAAUGAUAAUAUAUCUUCUAUUUUUCUAUUAGUUGAAUUGUGGUUAGGUAAAUAAUUAAUGAUGUUUUUGUUUCGAAAAUAUAAGAAAUUAAUGUUUUUCUUAAUCUAUGUGCAUAGAUUUAAAACGACUUAUAUUAAAAAACGGAGGGAGUAUAUAGUUACCUAUUUUUUGUUAGUAUCAGUUUAUUAAUGAUGUAAAAUGUGAAUCAUUUCAAUAAAUGAUGUUAAGCAAAACGUAAAUGUAUCAAAUCUUUAAUCGAUGUAAAAUUUAUAUAAUAACAUCAGUGAUAUAUCAUGGAUUUGAUCCAUUUUCAUCUAUGGUAUAUAAAUGUUUUACUAUUUAUAUAUUAUAUAUUCUAUCAUAUUACGUAUGUUUUCAAGUUCAGAAGUAUCUUGGAAUAAAGUGAUGAUUAUGGAGCAUUUAAGAGCUUAAAAGAGAUUUCAUCCGAGAUGACCAUUAGAGGUCGAUACGAAGAAGAAGAAAUCGAUCGAUGUACAUCAUGUACCAUCGAUCGAUGACGAGACGCGAAACUUGGUUUCAGCCGACUUUCAACCCAAGGUUUCACCAAAUUACAAGAUUACCCCUGACGAGUUUUUAACCUAAUAGUUAUAUACUUGCGUAAGUGUUAGGAGGCAAGGAGAGCUUUCUUUGAGAGAGAGUUUUCAGCCACCAUUAUAUUCUUAUUUUUCAGAGGAGAGAUGAUCAUAGAGAGAUUUGUGAUUGAAACUCCAUUGAUUCAUCUAUUCUAUUUUAUUUAUCCAUAUCUUGUGUUAUGAAUUGCUUAGCUAUGUAUGAGUAGUUUACUUGUUAGAUUCAUGGUUCAAAUAGGUUAGAGGGAUUAGCCCCAACUAUAGAUUUGCUAAGUUGUGAUAUUUAUUGAUUGAUUGUUCUUAUUGCUUGUUUUAGUCUUGCUAACUAGAACAUGAACCUAGGAAUUAGCAUGUGUCAAGCAUCCUUGAUCAUCUUGUCCUGAAUCUAAUCUGUCAAGGUAGGACUACUCGAGAGAGCUAACCGCUGAUCUAGGAGACUAGUGAGCAUUAUCAACCCACGCCUAAGGCUUAGCUAGAAGCAUCGAUCGAUAUUUUCUUCUGACAAUCGAUCGAUAUUUGUGAAAAGUGUAUCAAUCGAUAUCCUUAUAGGAUCAUCGAUCGACACUUUCUUGUAAUCAAAAGUCGACAGUUGAGAUCCAAGAUCUAGUUAGUUAACCAGUGAAAAUUGCCAUCGCUGAUCACUGUGACUAAGGAGUUGAGCUCUAAUAUAUCAUGCGUGCAACUGUUAGGCAUCUAUAGGAUUAUAAUCUCCAAUACCUGAAUAGAAACCAUGCAUCUAAUAUCUUCCAAUAAGUUACACCCCCAAUCAUCUCGUUAGUCGAGCAAUAGACUUGCUCAAUUAGGAUUGAAUUUAAUUUAAAACCCAUAAAAUAACAAACACCUAGAAUUAAUAACCUUACUAGAUUUAGUAGGAUCCCUAGAUCCUUGUGGAUUCGAUCCGUAAGUAAUGCAACUGAACCUCUUAUUUGAGAGAGUAAUUCACUCAAUAGGGUAAUUUGAGUGGUAUCAAUCAGUUAUGUUAAAAUGAUAUAAAUUAUAAGAAAUUAUAUCAAUUUGGUAAACUGAUGUUAAAAUUAAUUACUAUUAACAUCAAUUAUUACAAUCGAUUCUAUAUUAUAAAUAUUUGUAUUAUUAAUAAAUAAGUAAUUUAAAAUACUAUCAUUUAUUUUUGUGAUUCCAUUUAAGUGAUACAAUUCAAUACUCUUUUUUGUAGUGAAAAGUUAAAGAGAAAAUAAAGUAAUAGAAAAAGAAAAGAACUUAAACACAUGGCAACUUUUUUUUCUCAACUCAAAACAAGAAGAAAAAGUAUAAACCAUUUUUCAAUUUUUGAAUAUUUAUGGGGGAAAAAGUAAGUAGAAUAGAUUUCACUUGAUUGGUUUAAUGGUAGCAGAAGUGAAAGUAAUUUUUGCUCCAUAAAUAUAUCGUUAUAUGUGACACACAGAGGCUACGACUGUUUUACACAUCUAGAAAUAUAUCUAAGAGGAAAACAUAUUUACUUUGAUUUCUGCUAGUAUUUGGUUGUCAUUAUUAAAAUAUAGUAAAAUUGUUUAUUUCUUCUCUCUUGGUUUAUCCACAGAAAACAUGUAUUGCGCUGAUUUAAUAUUUUUUUUUAUUAUAUUAUUUUUAUUUUUAUUUUGUCUUACAUUUUUUUGUCACCAAUCACACACAUAGUGAGAGGAAAAGUAAAAUAAUUGAUGUUAAGAGUUUUCAAGGCUCCUAAUCAAAUGUUAUAGUAUAAAAGAUUGUCGAACCAAUCCUAGGUGAUUCUAAAGUAAAGGGAAUGCAAGUUCAUGCUUAAGCUAAGUGCAAUCCGGUUUUAAAGAUGGUAUGAACUAAGAACUAAUAAGCUAAUGCAAUAAAGUAAUGAUUUUUUUCUUUCUCAAUACAAAGCAAGAGGACUCAUGGGGCUAGGCAUUUGAUCUUGGAUGAUGUAGAUCCAAUCUAAGGGUGGCAAGCUAUCAAUCAAACAUUUUCCUUAUGCCUAAACACUAAGCUAAACAAGCUCUAUCCAUAGAUGAAUGUUCUUUUGCUAAAGCAACUCAAGCAUCUAAUCCCUUAGGUUGAAUGUUACUAAAGCAAACAUGGAGAACAAGUCUAAUAGCAAUCUUAACUCCUUUAGCAACUAAUCCCUUAGGUAAAGCAAGCUAAAAGCAUUGAAGAGUUGGUUUAGGCAUUUCAUCAUACACCUUGUGGGUAGGAAAUGCCUAGAGAUCUAUUUUAGUAUGAUCAAGACUAAAAUAGCAUUGAGAACCCUCAACAAGCAAGGAAACAAGUGGAUCUAACACUAAACACCCUAGAUCUUCUCUAAUCACCCUUAAUCACCCUAGCCCAUGAAUCCAAGAUUAGUCUACUCACUAAUAGACAUGAAUAACUCCAAAACCAUGGAUGAUUCAAGGUUAAACAUGAUUAGAGAGCAAGAUAAUCAAGCAAAGAUAAGAAAUUAUGAUCAAGAUUAGAUCUUUCACCCAAAAAUGGCUUUUGAUUAGAUAGAAAACAAGAUAACCCCUAAAAUUAGGUCUAAAAAGUAUUUAUAGUGGUCUAAAAACGAGCUGGGUCGACCCAACAAGCUUGGGUUGAUCCAAGAUAAUUUGGGUAAAAAGUUGGUAAAAACAGAAGUGCAGAUUUUUCUAAGUGUCGCAGCUGGCUUUUGACAUGUCAUUUGGCCGCUGCAACAAGUACAUAUGGGGCAGGGGCGUGUGCAUUUUCCCAGCUGUUUGGCUUGGCCGCUGCAGUUGGCCGCCGGGACAGUUGGGACCUUGGCUUGUGAACCAAAAUCACCAUUCUUGUCUCUAAACCAUCUCCAAAGGUUCCAAACUCACCAAAUAGCAUCUCCAUCACCUAAUAGAGACAAAUGUCUAUGCAAUGCACCUAUAUCUACUCUAAAUGCAUCUAAAUGGACAAAUUGAGAACUAAAAUGAUUGCUAAAACUAUGCAAAAACACAAGAUAUCAACUCCCCCAAACUAGAACUUUACUUGUCCACAAGUAAACUUUCAAGGUCUAUUAGAAGAAAAGUUUGAAAAUGAGAACUCAUAACCAAAAGACACACUUUCUAACCUUCAAUGUAACAUCCUAAAGAAAACAUAUCAAAUAGCAUGAGCAACUUCCUUAGUAUACUCUAGCUUCUCUAGGCCUAUCCAUACUCUUUUGCCUCUACUCAAGUUGCAAUACUCUUUACCAACAAGUUCCUUCAAUCAGCUCUUUUCAAGAGAUGCUUAAGCUACUUGAUAUGUUUAACUAGGAUGUCAAAUUGAGUUCUAGACAUGUGUUCUUUGCAAGGUUUCUCCUAAUGCAUGAAUGCAAUCUAAAUGCUUCUAGACUCAAUCCUAAAGAUGCAAAUGAUGCAACUAAAUGCUUAUUUUUGUGAUUUUUGAAAUUUUUCAAUUUUUGUGGAUUUUCUAUGCAAAUAAUUAUGUACAAUGCAAGACUCAAUGCAAUAUCAUCAAAGAAAACAUGAUCAAAUACCUGGUAUCUCCCCCAAACUUAGUUCACACAGUCUCUGUGUUGGUAAGUUGAAAGAGAUACCCAAAAGAAAGAAUAAAUGCAAAGAAAAACUGGUAUAUACAAUGGAAAGGUUGGAGUGGUACCUCAAGCGGAGAGUGGAGGAGGAGGAUCCUUCCCACUAUCAAGAGUGAUGGUGAGGAUUUGAGAGAGAAGCUCUUGAAACUUGAUUGGAUCAUUUUGGAGCUGAGGAGUGAUGAUGGCCCUUGCACUUGAGAAUGGCUUAGACCUUCCCUUACACUUGAUUUUGUACUCAAUGACCCCAUCCUUAAGCUUCAUUGGGUGGAGAGUAAGAGUGUGAGGAGUCUUAUCAAGAGGUGGAGGAUGAGGUUCUUUCACAAUCUUCUUUCUUGUCAUGAGCAGCCUUUGUGGCUCUACUCACCUCCUUCUUUUUAGCACUUUCCAAGUGCUCAUCACACAGCUCUUUAGAGGACUCUCCAGCAAGACCUUCUUUCUUAAUACUAACCCCUUCAGCCUUGGUCUUUUCAAUGGAGGAUGCUCCACAAGUGAUUGUUCCACAAUACUCAUCAUUCAUCUUUGGGGAUUGUAGUGGAUAGGAGACAGCCUUGUUCACAUUUAGGAGUGUGACCUUCUUGUUGGCAAAGUGUAUGCAAGCUCCCACUGUUGUAAGGAAUGGAGUGUCAAGGAUCAAUGGGUCUCUCUUCUCAGUUGCCAUCUUCAGAACAGUGAGGUCUAUAGGAAUGGUGCAUUCUCCAAUCUUCAAAGGGAAAUCCUUGAUGAGACCAAUAGGAGUUGUAGAAGAGGAAUCUCCAAACUGUAGGGAAGAUGUGUUUGGCUCCAUGCUCUCAAUCCCUAGACUCUUCAUCAUCUCCAUUGAGAUCACAUUCACACUUGCACCAGAAUCAACAAGAGCAUCAUCAAAAGUGAGCUUACCAAGGUAGCAAGGCAAGGUGAACAUCCCUUGAGACUCAAGCUUAGGGAGGGACUUUGGAGGGAUUGGUGGAUCAAUCUUCAGAAUGGAGAUGUCCAAAAGCUCGGCCACUUCAGCUUGGUGGUCUAGAAUGUCCUUGAUGAGCAUCAUCUGGACAUGAGCUUCACGCAUACCCGAGAUUUCUGGAAGUCUGAUCCCAACAUCACUAAGAUCUUUCCUGAACUUGGAGAGCACCUUCUUCUGUGCUUUGGUGAGAACUCUUUGGGGGAAAGGGAGCUUAUCAUAGGGUGAUGGCUCAACCUCAGUGGCUUCCUCUAGCUUAACCUUUUUCAGCUUGUUGUCAGCUCUCUCCUCAACUUGUUUCGCAGCCUUGUGCUCAACUCUUUGCAGAUUCGUUGCUUCAACCUUCCUAGCAGCGUCCUUCACAAUUUGUGCUUCAGCUGUGGCCACAACAAAUCUCUCAACUUCUCCAAAUUCAGUUCCAAAUACCAGUCUUUCAAUCUCAUCCUCCUCUUUCUUAUGAUUACUCAGCUCAAUCUCUAGAGAAGUAGUGGAGAAAACAACAUUGCAAGACUCCUUGGGGUUCUUUUCUGGUUUCCCUGGUAGAGACCCCAUUGGCUGCUUGGAGGAUGAAGGCAUAGAAGCAACUUGACUCUCCAAAGCUUUGAGAUGAGAGGCAAGUUGCAUGUACUUGUUGUUGAGGUCAGAAUAGUUCCCAUCAAUCUUUGCAUGGAUGUUCUUGAACUCAUAAAUCAUGGUCUUCUCAUUUCUGGCCUGAAAUUCCAAGAGUUGCUUGAACAUAGAAUCCACACUUGAAUCUGGAGCUUGAGCUUGAGAAGAGCUUCCUUGAAUCUGAGGAGACUGGUUGGCUUGAGGAUAGUUCUGCUUGGCUUGGUAACCUCCUUGUUGAUUGUUGUAGUAAGGCCUUUGAUGAUAGUUGUUUUGGUACUGAAAAUUGGGCUCUUUCCUGUACCAUGUGCCAUUAGCAUUGAUGAAGCACAACUCCUCUUGGCCUUCUAAACCAUCAACAGAACUCUGGAAGAGAACCUCUGUAGAAGGUACUGAGCAAACUCUCCUUGGUGAAGCCAUGAUGUGGGCAUUGAGACCAAUAGCCCUUGAACCUCUCCCAAGCUUCACUAAAGCCCUCUAGGUUCUUCUGCUGAAAGCUAGAGAUCUCAUUCCUGAUCUUGGCCGUCCUUGAGAUAGAAAAAAACUUCUCUAGGAAUACCCUCUUGCACUCAUUACAAGUUGUGAUAGAGUCCUUGGAAGAGCCUUCUCCCACUGAUGUGCUUUGUCACCCAAAGAAAAAGGGAACAGCUUGAGCUUCAAUGCAUCUUCAGAAACACCAUUGGUCUUGGACAAGCCACAAUAUUUAUCAAACUUGUACAAGUGAUCAAAAGGGUCUUCAGCAGCAAGGCCAUGAUACUUGUUGUUCUCUCUGGUGUUAAGCAGCCCUGACUUGAUCUCAAAGUUGUUGUUCUCCACAGCUGGUGCUCUGAUUCCCAACCUAUGACCAUGAAUGUGAGGUUGAUCAUAGGCUCCAAUGGCUCUAGCUUGGCGUUGUGGAUGCUGUGGCCUAAGGUUUGCAGCUCCUUGGGCCACUCCAUCAUGAGGCUGAUUCUGAUUGUGCUCCAUUUCAAACCCCAAUCUCUGAAAGUGAGCCUGUUGCUCUUCUUCUCUUCUCUUUCUUGCUAUCUCCCUCUCAAGUGCUCUAAUGUCUUCAACUCUUGGAACUAGGCUUGAUGAACCUCUGCUCCUCAAGUUCAUACACCUGAAAUGCAAAGAGAGAGAGGAAGAAAGAGAACCAGUAACAAAAUAAAAGAAAAAAGUGACUUAGUCUCAAGCAAGUGACUAAAUCCCAAUGUCACAAUCAACCUAGAACUUGGCAACGGCGCCAAUUUGAUGUUAGGAGUUUUCAAGGCUCCUAAUCAAAUGUUAUAGUAUAAAAGAUUGUCAAACCAAUCCUAGGUGAUUCUAAAGCAAAGGGAAUGCAAGUUCAUGCUUAAGCUAAGUGCAAUCCGGAUUUUAAAGAUGGUAUGAACUAAGAACUAAUAAGCUAAUGCAAUAAAGUAAUGAUUUUUUUUCUUUCUCAAUACAAAGCAAGAGGACUCAUGGGGCUAGGCAUUUGAUCUUGGAUGAUGUAGAUCUAAUCUAAGGGUGGCAAGCUAUCAAUCAAACAUUUUUCUUAUGCCUAAACACUAAGCUAAACAAGCUCUAUCUCUAGAUGAAUGUUCUUUUGCUAAAGCAACUCAAGCAUCUAAUCCCUUAGGUUGAAUGUUACUAAAGCAAACCUGGAGAACAAGUCUAAUAGCAAUCUUAACUCCUUUAGCAACUAAUCCCUUAGGUAAAGCAAGCUAAAAGCAUUGAAGAGUUGGUUUAGGCAUUUCAUCAUACACCUUAUGGGUAGAAAAUGCCUAGAGAUCUAUUUUAGUAUGAUCAAGACUAAAAUAGCAUUGAGAACCCUCAACAAGCAAGGAAACAAGUGGAUCUAACACUAAACACCCUAGAUCUUCUCUAAUCACCCUUAAUCACCCUAGCCCAUGAAUCCAAGAUUAGUCUACUCACUAAUAGACAUGAAUAACUCCAAAACCAUGGAUGAUUCAAGGUUAAACAUGAUUAGAGAGCAAGAUAAUCAAGCAAAGAUAAGAAAUUAUGAUCAAGAUUAGAUCUUUCACCCAAAAAUAGUUUUUUGAUUAGAUAUAAAACAAGAUAACCCCUAAAAUUAGGUCUAAAAAGUAUUUAUAGUGGUCUAAAAACGAGCUGGAUCGACCCAACAAGCCUGGGUUGAUCCAAGAUAAUUUGGGUAAAAAGUUGGUAAAAACAGAAGUGCAGAUUUUUCUAAGUGUCGCAGCUGGCUUUUGACAUGUCAUUUGGCCGCUGCAACAAGUACAUAUGGGGCAGGGACGUGUGCAUUUUCCCAGCUGUUUGGCUUGGCCGCUGCAGUUGGCCGCUGGGACAGUUGGGACCUUGUCUUGUGAACCAAAAUCACCAUUCUUGUCUCUAAACCAUCUCCAAAGGUUCCAAACUCACCAAAUAGCAUCUCCAUCACCUAAUAGAGACAAAUGUCUAUGCAAUGCACCUAUAUCUACUCUAAAUGCAUCUAAAUGGAUAAAUUGAGAACUAAAAUGAUUGCUAAAACUAUGCAAAAACACAAGAUAUCAAUAAUAUGUAACGUAAAAUGGUGAAAUACAAAUAAAUAAAUAAAAUAUUAUACAUUGACAAAAAAUAAUAAAGAGAGAAAAAAUAGGAGAAAUUGCGUAACUGUUUCUUUUGUUAAGACAAAUGAGAUUUUUUUUUAACUUUUCAAGGUAUAUUCAGCUGAAAGUAACUUUAAUAUAUUUGGUAAAUAUAUUUUUACUGUAUUUAACAUGCAAAUGAGAUGGUUACCCUAUUCUACAAGAGCUUGAAUAAUAUCUGCAUGGUGGAUGGUUCAUGUACUUCAACAGCAUAGUUUAAUUGUUGUGGAUGAGUUAGGAAUGAUAAUUUGAAAAAUAUUUAACUUGGGCAUGCAUAACUUAAGACGGAGAGAACUGCCUUACAUUCAGAACUGGAAGUACUAUGAUGUACAAUAGAGAGGAUGCUACAACAUUCAACAUGUUAUAGCUUUAAGAUGAAUUGCAAGGAUAUGAUUGUGAUGAUAAAGGAGCUUCAAGCAUGGCCAAGUUUUGCGACAAAAUUGGAGGCGAUAAAGACGAUGCAAAUAUGUUUUCCAAACAUCACGAUAUCUCAUAUCCCGAGAGCGAAAAAUGAAAUUUUGAACUAUUUAGCUAAGACUGCGAGAGCUUUGAUACAUUAGUUGUCCUAUUCUGGGGUGGUUACCCGGAAUACUUCAAGUUUGAGUAAUAAAAUAACGGUUCGUUGUAAAAAAAUGAUUAAGCAGAAUAUAGAGUUAAAUAAAUUUACUCCAAUUAUUUACUCUAAAAAUGUCAUUUAAUCGUACCUACAAAGUCACAACCGUAACAUGUUUUAGUCUUUUUAUUUCAGAACAUUAAUGUUAGUUUUGAUUUAUCGGGUGAUGGCUUUUUUAUAUUUUAAUGAUGUUUUGUAAUAUUCAAUUUUUGAAAAAAAAAACUAUAAUAAAAGGUUGGGUGUUGAGUGAUGUCAGUAACAAUGUUGGUGUUAACAAAAUGAAGCAUAAAGAAAAAUUUUAUAAUCUUUUGAUAUUCGUCUUAUACAUUAUUAUUAGUUUUGUUUUAACUUUAUUUUUAGAUUUUAAAGCAGUCUUGGGUUGUUGUGAUUUACAUAUUUUAUUAGAUAUUUGUUUGAAAGUAAUAAAAUAAUGACAAAAAGUAAUGAAAAAAUAAUUCAUAUUUACUGUGUUGUUAUUCUAAAUAUUUUUUUCAAUAAAUAUAAUAUUUUUUUUAAAAAUACGAUAAAUCUUGUAUAUAUUUAUCUAGUAAAAUAUAUAAUUAUAAAUAUUUUGAAGAUUAUCAUUACUUAGAGUUACAUUUUUAUAAAACUAAAAAAUAUUUUUAAUAUCUAUAAUACUAUUUGAGAAGUCAGUUUAUUACGUGUCGCGCUCACGUCAAUUCUCACAAUAGAUCUUAUACAUUGUAACCUUAAUGAAUUAAUAAUAUUUGUUACUGUUAUAAAAAUUUCUAUUUAACUUUUAUUAAUAACUUUUUUCUUAAAUAAAAAAGGAAAAUAUCAUUAUAUUUUGAAAAUAUCUAUUAUCUAUUUUUAUUUUCUUUCAUUAUAUAUAAAUAUAUAUAUAUAUAGUAUCGGUAAUAUCUUAAAAGUAAAAAUACAUAGUAAUUUUUUGUAUUUAAAACAUGUAGUUUGACAAUAAGGAAUUUCCUUUUAUGUAAAACUCAAUGUCAUAAACUAUUUUACUAAUUGCCAUUACUAAUAUUAUCUAUUUAUAUUUAUCUUUUCAUUUUAUCAAUAUUAUUAAAUAAAAUCAUAUCAAUAUUAUAAAAUAAUUUAGUAUCAAAACUAAUAUCUUCAAAAUAAGAGAAUAGUGAUUUUUAAUAUUUAAAACAUGUGAUUUAAAAAUAAGGAAUUUUCUUUUAUAUAAAUCUCAAUUUAAUAAAAAUUCAAUUUAGUUACCAAAUCAGUAUUUACUUUAAUACACUAAAUAAAAUUAUUUUUUCAUAAUUAUAAAUUUGUAAAAUAAAAUGUAUUUUUUGGAUAAUUAAUCAAUCUUUUAUUUUAAACAAAUUCUCGCAUAAUUUUAUUCAAUUUUUUAUGUUUCUAAUUACAGAUUGUCAAGCCUAAUACAACAUGAAUGUUUCAAUAUCUAUACAAAUAAAUAAGUAAUUAUCUCAAAUCCAAUUCCAUUAACAAAUUGUUUUCUUGUGAAUGCGGUAUUUGAUAAAAAGUAAUUUGGUUAAUAUUAUGUUCCAAAACUCUAAUAAUCGAUGUGUUUUAAAAGAUUGCAAAGUUUUUUCACUUAUACAACUUCUGAUAUCAACACUUCAAAAAUUUUCUCAAAAAUUUAAGUCAGAAAAAUAUAUCGAUUUAUAAAUACAUAUUUAGAAAUUUAUGAAAAUAAACUGAAUUAAAUGAAACUAUAAAUAAUCUGAUUUAAUAUAAUUAAAAUUCAGUUGGACAAUAGGUACCAACUCAUUAUACCAAAAAAUAACUUAACCGAUCCAAAUUAUUAUACCCUAAAUCAUAUAUUUAAUUAAGAUAACGAAAUAAUGAUUUUAAAAUAAUAUUAUAUUUGUCUUUCUAUUGUAUAAACUACAAGACAAUUUAAAACUUAUCAAUAAAUAGAAGUAAUAAGUUAAUCAAUUAUAAUUAUUUUAUUAUUUUUAAAAUGAUUUUUUUCCAAAAAUUACCUUGUAAAAAAUUUAAAGAUAAAACAAGAAUAUAAUAUUGGUUUUUUUUUUGGUCAAAGAAUUUAAUAUUGCUUAUAUUUACGAAAAACACUGUAUACUAUGUUUACGGCCAAAAAAAAGAAAAAUAUAUCAACUCGAGGAGGUAAAGUGUUGGGUCCCAAAAAAAAAGAAAAGGUAAAGUGAGAAAAUAAAUCUGACUUUACAUAGAAAGACGAAAGUGCGAAAACCUUUUCAACAUCAAUCUUCUUCCUUCUCUCGAAGCCAAAACCAUGGCGCUACUACUAUGGCAAACUCUAAAAGAAGCGAUACAUGCUUACACAGGUCUCUCCCCGGUGGUCUUCUUCACCGCCCUCGCUCUCGCCUUCUCCAUUUACCAAGUCGUCUCAGGCUGGUUCGCUUCGCCUUUCGAUGAUGUUCGCCGACAUCAGAGGGCUAGAUCCUCGGCUGCAGAGGAAGCACCACCGAUUCCUCAGCCUGUUCAGGUCGGCGAGAUCACAGAGGAGGAGCUUAAGCAGUACGAUGGCUCCGAUCCUCAAAAGCCCCUUCUUAUGGCCAUCAAACAUCAGAUCUAUGACGUAACUCAAAGCAGGUCACUUUCUUUAAAUUUCACUAAUGAACACAAACAUUACCUUUCUCCUUUCUGUAAGAACUUGGACUUGCAUACAUUUAAACCCUAAAGUUGUUCACUUUGAAGAUUUGUUUCGUUAGUAAAGAUUUAUCCUUUUUCUAAAUUCAUAUUGUUGUUUUUGCAUAGAGUACUGUUGUUGAUGUCUGCUAGGGAUUUGGAUUGUUUUUUUCUUUCUCAAAACUCUUAACUCAUGUUCGAACUUUUGAUUUAAUCUUAGACUGAUUUGUUUUGUUUUAUAUUCAUUUCUUUAUUGGUUUAUAGGAUGUUCUAUGGACCAGGAGGGCCAUAUGCUUUGUUUGCAGGGAAAGACGCAAGCCGAGCGCUUGCAAAGAUGUCGUUUGAGGAGAAAGAUCUGACUUGGGAUAUCUCUGGUCUUGGUCCCUUUGAGCUUGAAGCUCUUCAGGACUGGGAGUACAAGUUCAACAGCAAGUAUGCCACUGUUGGCACUGUCAAAGUGACCGUUUCAGAAGCUGAAACUGCAUCUGUGUCUGAACCCGCAGAGACUGAUGACGGAGACGCUCAUGUAAUCAAGCAAGAACCGACAGUUGUUGAUAAGAAUCUUGAGACUCCUGCUGAGAGUGAUGUGAAGAACGAGUAGAUUCUGUUUCCGUGAUUUACUCUGAUGAUGUUGAAGUUUCAAUGAUAUAAUCUUUGUUUCAUUACCUCAAAAACCGAGUUUGCUGGUUAAUAAAGUAUUUAUAAAAUGCUCGAUCACAUAGUGUUUGAAUAUUGCAUUGCAAAAUUACAAGGUGGUGGACAUAUAUGCUUUGUUUGCAGGGAAAGAUGCAAACCGUGAUCUUCCAAAGAUGAAGAAAAAUAUUUGACGUAAUUGAGAUAUGUAUCUCCGGUUUUUCUCCUUUAUUCAUUUCAGGACUGGAAGUACAAUCAUGAGCAAGUAUGUCAAGGUUGGUGAUUCAGCAGCAUCUCUACUAUUGGCGCCAACAUGAUAAUUAUUCAAAUUAUAUAAACAGAGCUUACGCUCUCAUAUUAAUCAGACUUUUGAUAAGAAACUUAAAGUUUUGCUUCUUCAUUGUGUGAUCCAUUAAAUUCAUCUCUAGAGAAGUUGGUUUCAAAGAAGCAAUCGCGAGAAACUUUUUGAUCAAUCCAAGAACAGGUUUCUAAAACCCUAAAUGUUCUCAGCAACAAGCUGAUAACGAUGCCCCUACCACCCAAAAAGCUAUUGCCGACCUUCAAGCUCAAAUCACGGCUCUUGUGACUGUUGUGACUGAUCUAACGAAACAACGAGUGACCGCUGCAAUUCGCCGGGGAUGCACUGACAAUGAUUACAAUGACAAUGGUGUUGAGGAAGAAGACGAUAAAUUUUUUACAUGUCAUUUCUAUGGUCCAAUAUAUGACAGGUACGACACAGACGAUGAUGAUGAUGUUGAUAAGGAGGAGCACACAUCAAAAGACAUCUUCACUAAUUGGAACGGCGAUCCAAUACACAAUGAAUUUGAUGACGAGAACAUAGAAUUUGCAGAAGCUGAAUUUGCCCCAAUUUUUUGGAUUCUGCUUUUAAAAUCAACGUGAAGUAAGAUCUCAAAGAAGAGCUAGAAAAGCAACGCAUAAUUCUCAAAGCAUAAAUUACGAGGUGGAUGAUAAUCUGAUGGAGGAGGAGGAGGAGGAGAAUCUGAUGGAGACAGAAACUCAGAAGGCUGCAAAUGUUAAUGAAGGCAAAGAACGUCAGGCUAAUAAGAAGAAGCUUGGGAAACCAUGUGGUGCUGUGAUGGGAGGUACGCUCAAGAAGCGGCUGGUGCAGAGUGUCGUCUCUCCAAGGAAGAAACAUACGGCUAAGCAGGGUAGUAAGAUGGGGGGAGAAGGGUAUAUUACCCCCAAAGAAGGCUUCAGUCAAGGCAGAUCCUGAUCAGGAUUAAGGAGUUAACAAGUUCUCAAAAAUUUAAUGAAUAAGUGAAGGGAAAGAUCUAGUAUUCCCUUUGAAUUUCGUUUUGAUUUUGCUUUCAAUCUUUGCUAUGAGUUUCCUCUGAGGUUUUCAGGGAGUUGGAAUAAUAAAUUUAAGUGUUUUUCUUUUGUUUUGAGAUCUUAUGAGUACGGGUGGUGGUUAGAUUUGUGUAGGACUAUGCCUUCUCGGGGACUAUGGUAUUUGGUCAGUUAUUGGAGUGUCUUCUUUUCUCUGGUUAAGAGAUACAUGGGAUCUUGGUCUUUGUUUAUUAGGAGCAUAGAAAUGGGGACAAGUGAUGAGGAGAGUGUUUUUUUGGAAUCGGCAUUUUGCCAUCGAGGUUAUUAUGGAGUCUGUUGAGGAGAUACCGUUCUUACAAACUGAUUUGGAGAAGUUCUGUGUGCUGAUUGCUAGCGUCACAAGCUGUGGGUGUAAUGGUUUGCUUGUAGAAAGGAUGAUUAGCAAUCCUAUUUGGUUUGGAACAGGUAGUUUGGCUUGUCAAUAUGUGGGGUUCCAUUGGUGUUUCUUUAUUGGACAGGGGCUUGGCGUUUAUGCUUCGGGUGUGUUGUGUUUGGGUAUGUGGAGUGAACUAUACAGACGAUUACAUACGAGGUGGGUGGUUACGGAACGGAGCAAUAGGGGCAGUGAUGCUUUCACAAACAAUGUGAUAAGGCGAUGGGUUUUCCCACUAAGAUACAAGUUUAUAAGAGGUCAGGAAGAUAGGACGAGCGUCCCGGUUGUUACUGGUGUUUGUUGGAAUUUUAGGCUUGACAAUAUUAACUCUAUCGGCUUUGUACUUCCUCAAGUUAAAUUUAUGGACGUUAAGUUGGUCUGUGUAAUGGAUUUAUAUAGAGGUAUAUAUCAGGAACUAGAAUACUUUGUCUAUAAUAAUAUUUUAUAUAUUGUAAUUUGUGUUUGUGUAUCACUUGGUUAUGCGGAAUCAUUGCUUCGCUCAUGUUUAAUGAUAUGUUAUUGGUUAAGGAGAUGUGCUAAUGCAAUUGAUCAGCGAAGGAGAUGGUUUAACCGAGCUGAAUCCGGCUCAUAUACAAUGGUUUUUGGAAAGGGUUUAUCACAAUAUGCAGAGAUUCAGAAUUUUAAUCAAAAUACAAGAUUAAUUCCCUAUGCUUGGUGUACUUGUGGGUGGAAGGUGAUUUUUGUAAAGGUUACAAUUAUCGGAAGGUGGUUUAUUUUAGUUUUUUUAAAUAAUGCAAGGAAAAUAAUUAUGAAGAUAUUGAGUUGGAAUUGUAGAGGAAUGGGGAGUAAAUAUACGAUUAGUUAUCUGAGAGAGAUAUGGUAUAAACAUAAACCUACGUUUCUUUUCUUGUCGGAAACAAAACAACAGUUUAGUUUUGUCCAGAAUUUUCAAUUUCAUUUUGGUUAUAAACAUCUACAUACGGUGGAUCCAAUUGGGAGGAGUGGAGGACUAGCCCUUUAUCAUAACCAUGAUUCACCGGUAACUAUUAUCUAUUCAAGUAAUAGGAUUAUAGACGUUGAAACAAGUUAUAAAGGAAAAACUAUUUUUAUUUCUUUUGUUUAUGGGGAGCAUGUUCAGGAUCUUCGGGACCAAGUUUGGGAACGUCUUAUUCGAAUUGGGAUAAAUAGAUUGGAGCCGUGGUUUAUUAUAGGAGAUCUUAACGAAAUAACAUGUAAUCAUGAGAAGGAAGGGGGAGUGUUGAGACACGCGUCCACCUUUGUAGAUUUUAAUAAUAUGAUUGAUAACUGUAGGCUUUUGGAAUUCCCGUCUUUGGAGAAUACUAUGUCAUGGAGCGGGACGAGGAACAAACAAACGGUACGAUGUAGACUGGAUCGGGCUUUAGGGAAUGUGGAAUGGCACAAUUUAUUUCCGUCCUCCUUUGUAGAGUAUUUGGGAAUGGUGGGAUCAUAGGCCUAUAGUGACGAAUCUAGAUGAAAAGCUUGUAAAGACAAGAAGGCAGUUUAGGUUUGAUAAGAGAUGGAUUGGAAUGGAUGGCCUUAUGGACUCCAUUUCGAAAGGUUGGUCUUCAAAAAGACGAAGACAGAACUCGGGUAUUGUUGACAAAAUUAUCAAUUGUAGACAUGAAAUUUUGGCAUGGAGGAAGAAUAAUCCUCCAUAUGGGAAGGAAAAGAUUAAUUCCCUUCAGAAGGUUUGGAGGAAGUUCAGUGUGAUAAUACUAAGACAUAUGAGGAAGUGUUAGAUGUAUCCAGGAAAUUGCAAAAAGCGUAUAGGGAUGAAGAAUUAUAUUGGGAACAAAAAUGUAGAACGACUUGGCACGCAAAAGGGCGAUCGAAAUACAAAAUUUUACCAUGCUUUGAUUAAACAGAGUAGGAUACAAAAUAAGAUUGUGGGCUUGCAUAAUAGGGACGGUAAUUGGGUUACAUCAGAAUCUGAAGUAGAAGGUGUGGCGAUAGAUUAUUUUAAUGAUUUGUUUGCGACGUCAUCACCUUCGGGCUAUGAGGAAUUUUUAAAGGAGGUACCUACCCUGAUUACGGAGGAUCAAAAUAGAUCUCUAACUUCUUGGGCAUCAGAGGAGGAAGUACGAUCUGCUUUAUUUAUGAUGCAUCCAAAAAAGGCUCCAGGACCAGAUGGAAUGACGGCUUUAUUCUUCCAACAGUCCUGGUCGAUUAUUAAAUCAGACAUCACAUGUAUGGUUAACGAGUUUUUUAGGACUGGAUAUUUGGAUGAGAGGAUAAAUAUGACCAAUAUUUGUCCCAUUCCAAAGACGGUGCGACGGAGUAGAAUGACGGAAUUGCGCCCCAUCAGUCUUUGUAAUGUGGGAUAUAAGAUUAUUUCGAAGGUGCUUUGCCAACGUUUGAAAGGACUAUUGCCACGAUUAGUCUUAGAAACACAAUCAGCUUUUGUCUCUGAGAGAUUAAUUUCAGAUAAUAUUUUGAUUGCGCAAGAGAUGUUUCAUGGAUUAAGGACGAAUAAUUCAUGUAGGAGAAAUUUAUGGCUAUAAAAACAGAUAUGAGCAAGACAUAUGAUAGAGUGGAAUGGCCUUUUAUAGAGGCGAUGCUGCUAAAGCUGGGAUUUGCACAAAGGUGGGUAUCUCGGAAAAUGUCUUGUAUUACAUCGGUACAAUAUAAAGUUAUGAUUAAUGGUCAACCAAAAGGGCAUAUUGUACCAAAUCGAGGUCUUCGUCAGGGUGAUCCGUUAUCACCUUACUUAUUUAUUUUGUGUACUGAGGCACUAAUAGCGAAUAUAAGGAAAAAGGAGGAAGAAAAGUUACUAACGGGGCUAAAAGUUGCAAGUGGUAGUCCGGCGAUUUCACAUCUAUUAUUUGCGGAUGACAGUCUUUUUUUUUCUGUAAAGCGAAUAAGCAAGAAUAUGAAACUAUCCUACAGAUCUUGAAAGACUAUGAAAGAGCGUCGGGGCAACAUAUUAAUUUCCUAAAAUCGUCCUUACAGUUUGGCCACAAGGUUCCAGACGCAGUUCGUCUAGAGGUACAACAUAUUUUGGGGAUCACUACAAUUGGUGGGAGGGGAAUAUAUUUGGGAAUACCUGAGAGUCUUGGGGGAUCUAAAGCACAAAUUUUUGGUUUUUUUAAUGAAAGAGUUAAUAAUAAAGUUAAUAAUUAGACAAUACGAUUCAUUACGAAAGGAGGAAAGGAAGUUUUAAUCAAAGCAGUGGCAUCACCUAUGCCAACUCACGUUAUGUCAUGUUUUCGUUUACCAAAAACGGUUACAAAAAAACUUACGAGUACAGUUUCCCAUUUUUGGUGGAGUGGUAGUGGUAAUACAAAGGGAAUGCAUUGGUUUUCAUGGGAUAAAAUGUGCAAAGAUAAAGUAAAUGGUGGUAUUAGUUUUAGAGAUAUUCAAAAUUUUAAUACGGCGUUAUUAGCGAAACAGCUAUGGAGGUUAAUAGAUAAACCUGAUUCUCUUUUCGCAAGAGUUUUUAAAGGAAGAUACUAUAGGAAAUCUGAUCCUUUGGACCCAAUCAGAUCAUAUUCUCCCUCAUACGGGUAGAGAAGUAUUACAUCAGCUAGAUCUCUGGUUAAUAAAGGGCUAAUCAAAAGAGUGGGAACUGGUUCAAGCAUUUCGGUCUGGAAUGAUCCUUGGAUCCCUACUCCUCGCCCGAGGUCAGCAAUACAAAAAUUUUCGAAUCAAUAUUUAAAUCCAUUACUUAAAGUGGAAGAUUUGAUUAAUCAAGAAGAUCUUUCUUGGAAUCUGAAUUUGCUCAAAGCUUAUAUACAUCAGGAUGAUGUGGAUAUUAUACGGAGUAUAGCUAUUAGUCGUAAUCCAAAACCGGAUUCAUAUGGCUGGCAUUUUACGGACCAUGGUCGAUAUACGGUUAAAUCCGGUUAUCAAACGGAAACAUUAUUUCCGGAUAGUGGAGCUCAUGAUAGUUUUUCGGGACCAAAUACUAAACCACUCUUGGCUCAUUCUUGGAAGCUUCAAUGUUCUCCAAAGCUAAAACAUUUUGUUUGGCAAAUAUUAUAGGGAAGUCUUCCGGUAACUAAGAAUCUUCGUUACCGAGGGAUAAAAUGUGAUAUGCAGUGUCAAGUAUGUGGAGAUGAAGAAGAAUCCAUUAAUCAUGUGUUGUUUGAAUGUCCGUUGGCAUUACAAACUUGGGCUUUAUCUAAUAUUCCCUCAUGUCCGGAGGUUUUCCCCACCCCGUUUCUUUUCACAAAUAUGGACUAUCUUUUCUGGCGGUUACCCAAGGAACCGGACUUGAAUUAUUUUCCAUGGAUACUGUGGUAUAUUUGGAAGAAUCGAAACGCUAAAGUUUUUAGGAAUCAGACAAGAACCCCUUUUGACAUUCUCAGGACUGCGGAGAUAGAAGGUGUUUUAUGGGCUGAAGCUCAGAAAGAUGCGGCUAUAAAUCGUGGACCCCUAGAUGUUAUAGGAGAAGCUCUGCCAAAUGGCAUCGAUAAGUGUUACAUUGAUGGAGCAUGGAAAGAAAAUGAUCUUUACACGAGACAAGGAUGGGUCUACAAGAAAAAUGAAUCCACUGAUACUAUGAUGGGUGCAAUGUCUAUUCGCAGAAGUCUAUCACCUUUAUAUGUUGAAUGUGAAGCUUUGAUAUGGGCGAUGGAGUGUAUGAAGACCCUACAAGUUUCAGAAGUGAUGUUUGCAACUGACUGCUCUCAAUUGGUGAAAAUAGUGUCCACACCAACAGAAUGGUCGGCGUUCACUACACAUAUGGAGGAGUUUCUGCGAUGUAAGGAAUUCUUUCUCAACUUUACUAUCCAACAUAUCCCAAGGGCGCAAAACACUCUGGCGGACAAGCUGGCACGAGGUGUUAGGACUUCGCCAGCUGCUAUGGUUUAUGUUGAUUCAGUUCUCCCGAAAUGGUUCUCGGACCAGAGAUUUUUUUAGUUCCUUAGCCUUUUGCUGUAAAAAAAAAAUAAAAUUAUGUUUUGUGGAAAGAGGAAGAGUCAGUAGUUUUUUACCUUACUAUGGCACGGUGAGAGAUCUCAAUUAUGAGAAACAAGUGAAAUUUUAUUUUUCUUGUCAUUAUGGACAGAGGAAGAGUCAGUAGUUUUUUACCUUACUAUGGCACGGUGAGAGAUCUCAAUUAUGAGAAACAAGUGAAAUUUUAUUUUUCUUGUCAUUAUGGAUAGAGGAAGAGUUAGUAGUUUUACUUUAUUAUGGAAUUUUACUUUAUUAUGGAACGGUGAGAGCUCUCAAUUGUGAGAAACAAGUGAAAUUUUAUUUUUCUUGUCAUUAUGGACAGAGGAAGAGCAAGCCACCCGAUCCUAUUCAAAGUAAAAGCUUGUUUCUUUGCACGAGUAGUAACUAUGAUACGAGAGUACUUGGUGGUGAUUAUACUUAUGUUAGCUGCAAGAUACAUGAAAAAGUGGAGGUGAGUCAUGCAUUUGACAUGACGUCUUGUGAUUGUUUCGGUUACUUGCGAGUUGAGUCAGAACAUCAGAAGAUGGCUACGGUUCAGCCGGUGCUGUGAGCUGUUGGAGCAUAAAGAGAUUACACAUGAUUUAUCAAGAUCACAAUGCAUGGGAGACGGUGUCUCACUAAUUAUUCUGUCAGUGUUUGUGCAAUCUUCUGCCAAACUUGCAAUUAAAUAUGAAAGUCAUAUUAUUAUUAUUAUUAUUAUUAUUAUUAUUAUUAUUAUUAUUAUUUUAAAGAAGACGGUCAUAUUAAAAGAGCAAUUAUCUAUCACUCUUAAAGACUCACUCCUCUCUAAUCACCAACCUUCCAACCUCCAUAUCUUCCACAUUGCUGAAGCUUAUGACGCCAUCCGUCGUUUUUGGCUCCCUAGCCCUUUCCGUCGCUGUUAGCUCCCUAGCCCUUUCCGCCUCCAAUGGCCAAUUAAUCCUACACAUCGCCACCAUCAUACCAAUCAUACAUGAUAUCUGCGCUACGAGCAUUCCGAGCCAAAGUCCCAUGAAUCCAAACCCAAACCAAAAAGUUAAAACCAUUACUACAGGCAAACCAAUCACAUAAAAUGCCGCUAUAUUGAUAUUAGCUCCCGUCAUCGGCCUCGCCGACCCUCUGAGAACGCCGCAUCCAGUAGUCUGAGGGCAGUUUCCCAGCUCGCAAAGGCCAACGACUGGUAGAACCAUCAUAGUCAAAUUAAUGACUUCUUCAUCAUCCGUGAAAAACGUAGCCCAUACCUUUCUGACUGAGAAAGUGAAUAUGAGAGCCAUGAGCCCGAGGGCGAUGCUGAGACCAAGUCCGACAAAGGUGGCUCUUCUCGCUCUCUGUGGCUGGUUCGAACCCAGCUCGUUUCCUACACGAGUCGAGACUGCGGAGCCCAAUGAAUGAGGGAAAAUAUAAACAAGGGAAGUGAUUUGGAUGAUUAUACCCAUUGAAGAAACAGAUACUUUAGGGUUUAUAAGUAACCCACAAAGCACAAUCAUGAUCUCGUAGCACCACCACUCGAGACAAACUGCAACACAACUGGGUACCGCGAGACCAAGCAGCUUCUUCCAUUCUCUCACACUCUGUUCAUACGACUCCUCUGAGACCUUCUCAUCUUUACUUAGCUUUUCUUCGAAGAAAGCUAUGUAGAUGAAGAGAAAUACGACAAGGUUGAAAUUUGACAGAGCACCACUCAAAGCAAUACCUUUGAUCUCAAAACCGAGGUAUGACACUAGGAGGAAUGUAACCGGAAAGUGGAGAACACUCGCAAUCCCUGUGCAUACGGAUAAAGGUAUAGUCUUUGACUGUGUCCUGAAAUAAGCUCUUAAUGGGUGUAAGAAAGAUUGAGCAAGGAGAUCUGGAACAGAGUAAAGCAGAAAGGUGUGAGCUAUGGAUGCGAGCUCCUCGUCCUGUUUUAACAAUUUCAGAAUCCUCUUGAUGUUUAUCCAUAGAAGAAAAACAGGGAGAGUUGUGACGCAAGCCACCCGAUCCUAUUCAAAGUAAAAGCUUGUUUCUUUGCACGAGUAGUAACUAUGAUACGAGAGUACUUGGUGGUGAUUAUACUUAUGUUAGCUGCAAGAUACAUGAAAAAGUGGAGGUGAGUCAUGCAUUUGACAUGACGUCUUGUGAUUGUUUCGGUUACUUGCGAGUUGAGUCAGAACAUCAGAAGAUGGCUACGGUUCAGCCGGUGCUGUGAGCUGUUGGAGCAUAAAGAGAUUACACAUGAUUUAUCAAGAUCACAAUGCAUGGGAGACGGUGUCUCACUAAUUAUUCUGUCAGUGUUUGUGCAAUCUUCUGCCAAACUUGCAAUUAAAUAUGAAAGUCAUAUUAUUAUUAUUAUUAUUAUUAUUAUUAUUAUUAUUAUUAUUAUUUUAAAGAAGACGGUCAUAUUAAAAGAGCAAUUAUCUAUCACUCUUAAAGACUCACUCCUCUCUAAUCACCAACCUUCCAACCUCCAUAUCUUCCACAUUGCUGAAGCUUAUGACGCCAUCCGUCGUUUUUGGCUCCCUAGCCCUUUCCGUCGCUGUUAGCUCCCUAGCCCUUUCCGCCUCCAAUGGCCAAUUAAUCCUACACAUCGACACCAUCAUACCAAUCAUACAUGAUAUCUGCGCCACGAGCAUCCCAAGCCAAAGUCCCAUGAAUCCAAACCCAAACCAAAAAGUUAAAACCAUUCCUACAGGCAAACCAAUCACAUAAAAUGCCGCUAUAUUGAUAUUAGCUCCCGUCAUCGGCCUCGCCGACCCUCUGAGAACGCCGCAUCCAGUAGUCUGAGGGCAGUUUCCCAGCUCGCAAAGGCCAACGACUGGUAGAACCAUCAUAGUCAAAUUAAUGACUUCUUCAUCAUCCGUGAAAAACGUAGCCCAUACCUUUCUGACUGAGAAAGUGAAUAUGAGAGCCAUGAGCCCGAGGGCGAUGCUGAGACCAAGUCCGACAAAGGUGGCUCUUCUCGCUCUCUGUGGCUGGUUCGAACCCAGCUCGUUUCCUACACGAGUCGAGACUGCGGAGCCCAAUGAAUGAGGGAAAAUAUAAACAAGGGAAGUGAUUUGGAUGAGAAUACCCAUUGAAGAAACGGAUACUUUAGGGUUUAUAAGUAACCCACAAAGCACAAUCAUGAUCUCGUAGCACCACCACUCGAGACAAACUGCAACACAACUGGGUACCGCGAGACCAAGCAGCUUCUUCCAUUCUCUCACACUCUGUUCAUACGACUCCUCUGAGACCUUCUCAUCUUUACUUAGCUUUUCUUCGAAGAAAGCUAUGUAGAUGAAGAGAAAUACGACAAGGUUGAAAUUUGACAGAGCACCACUCAAAGCAAUACCUUUGAUCUCAAAACCGAGGUAUGACACUAGGAGGAAUGUAACCGGAAAGUGGAGAACACUCGCAAUCCCUGUGCAUACUGAUAAAGGUAGAGUCUUUGACUGUGUCCUGAAAUAAGCUCUUAAUGGGUGUAAGAAAGAUUGAGCAAGGAGAUCUGGAACAGAGUAAAGCAGAAAGGUGUGAGCUAUGGAUGCGAGCUCCUCGUCCUGUUUUAACAAUUUCAGAAUCCUCUUGAUGUUUAUCCAUAGAAGAAAAACAGGGAGAGUUGUGACGAGGAGUAGGAUGAUUCCUCGACGGAUUGUUGCCCGGAAGAGUUUAUAGUUUGUUGCACCAAUUGCUUGUGAGCAAAUUGAGUCUACACCAAUGGUUAAACCGGAGAAGAACGAGUAAGCGGUGAUGUUGGCAAAUGCAAGUGCGAGUUCCUGGAUUCGCUAGAAAGCGACUCACAACUCCUACAACAUAGGUAAUGUCAGAAUAGAUAUGAAGGAGCGAAAGUAAAGGAGAACAUUUGUGAUGAUCAAUGGGUAAGUGAUUCUUAAAAUGGAGAUUGCAUCUAUUGCAAAGAGGGAGAGAAGCGCAAAUAAAUUUUUAAGUAAAUGUAGUUUCUCGUGAAGAGAGAUAUUUGGGAGAAAUGGUACUGUAACUUCAUCGUUGAAACGAUUUGAUUGAGACAUUCUUUGUCUUUUAUGUUAGAUAGAAGCAGGAGGGGAUGAAGAAGUAUGGUUAAGCAUUGGCUUUAUAUAGUGAAAUUAGUCAUUGGAAGUUAUAACAUUAUUUUUUUCCAAAUUUGGUCAUAUAUUUUCCUUACUUUUAAUUAACAAUUAUCAUAAAAUCAAUAUAUACAACUGUGUAUAUAUAUACGUGUUGACUAUAUAAUAAAGUUGUACACGCGCUUUCGAUUCUCUUUCAAUUCAUAAUGACAUGUGGUAAACAUUCAUACGAAUAGUAGAUUUUCAUCUCUAAGUUUUAAUUUUUUAAGGAUAUACUUUCUUUCUUUGCUUCUAAUUUUCUCCUCUCGGUUGGACCUCAUACAAUGUAUGUUGUUUGAUUUCGUAUACACGUGUCAUUAACAAGAUUCGAAUCCAAUAUACAAAAUUUUAUGUGGCUUGAAUGAAUACAAUGAAAUGUGGGUCCUUUUUCAAAGAUAUAGUAGAUUUUUAUAUAUAAAUGCUAAAUAUUUUGAGGACAUAAUCUUAAUUUUUUUUCAUCUUCGAUUUUUAUUUAUCCAAUAUAUUCUACUUAAAUAUGUAAACACAUGUAACUACUUGUAAAAGGGACCAUUUGUGAUGACCAAUGGGAAAGAGAUUCUUGCGAUUAAGAUUACUUUAUUUGUGAAAAAGGAGAGAAGAGGAAAAUAAUUUUUAAGUAAAUUUAGUUUCUCAUGAAGAAAGAAUCUUGGAAGAAAGAUUAUUGUAACUUCGUCUUUGACAUGAUUUAUUUGAGAUAUUUUUUCUUUUUUUAAUGUUAGAUAAGUACGAGAAAAAGGAUUUUUGGGUGUGAAGAAGCUUAGUUAAUUAUAGAAGGAUUUAAUAUAUAAAUCCAAUCUGAUAUAGGCCCAAUCGCAAUGGGCUAAAUUUACAGUUUCCACUUGAUCAUCUACAAAGCCUAGCUAUUCUUACCUAAAAAGGGUACUUCACAGCUAGAGGUAGCGAGCUCCAGGUCUAAUAAAUAAUAACUAAGAUCCGCGGUCAAACGGUUACACAACAUACCAAGAUCUUUGGCGCAAGACACGUCACAUGCACCUUAGAUACACGGAGUAGUUGGAGUGAUCCAAAGGAUUCAUCUCUUAUAAUAACAAAGUCUAGUAUUAAGCUCUAAUUUCAGGCCUUCCCUGGCAAUCGGGAUCGGGGUUCUUGAAAUUUAAGAAGGUGUAAUUCGUACAGGGCCAAAGAGUUUAUUCUAGGACUUAGGCCAAUUAUGCAUGUGUUUUGGUAUUGGGGCUACAUAUAUAGUAUAAAAAGAGGUGCAAUUUAGGUUUUAUCAUACAAUUAGUGUUUCGUAUAAUCCUUCCUUUAGCCUUAUGAAAAUUGUUUUCAUAUAACUUUGUUUCAGUCACAAAAGCUGUUCUGAAAGGCUUCAGUUGAACUUAGCUAAAGUCAUCCCCUAGGAAGAUGAAGCCUAAGAGGCUCGACGCCGAAUUUAUUGGAAACAAGUUACAUGAUAGUGAUUUGCUUGGUCGUAAUAGAGAGAACCGUGAGCCCUACUCUUCUCUCAUGAGUGAAUCCAAUUGCGGAGAAAUGUGGAACAAGGCAAUGACAAAUGAUGGUCCCAUCAGCUUGAGUGAGAUUGAGCUACUAAUCAAAGCUGCAAAAGCCAUCAUCUCCUCUAAGAAGUAAGGUUCUCAUUCUCUUAUCUAUAAGUCAAUUACAGUAGAUUCAGAGGGUAGUCAUCACAUGAUUAGUGACAAGAAUCUAAUUAAUGAUGUUACACUUGUUCUUGGGAAUGUUAUAAUCAAAUGGAUAAAAGGUGAAGAACGAAGGAAUUGAGAAUCUUAGGCUUGCAUCCAAACUAUUCUUUGUGAGGAAAGCCAUGGUUGACCUGAAUUGUCAGGUGUUGGGGUCAAAAUCGGUCACGACGGAAUCAAUAUCCGAAAGUCCGUAAAAAUCGGCAUGAACGUUUUUACGAAAUGUAAUCUUCGUAAAGAAAUCUUUACGAAGAGCCUUGCGGUAAAAUUGUGUUCAAAUCUCAAUCGAACCACUUAAUACUGAUUGUCCGAAGGUAACAGACAUGUAUCCAAAUCAGCCACAAACGAGCUCGAGUAUGGCGAUCGGACCACAGACAAGCCAAGCACGAUCACUACGCAACGACCAAGCAUGCACACGUAGCGACCGAGCAUGCGUACCACUCGGUCGCUACGUAGCGGCCGAGCACGAGUACCGCUCGGUCGCUGUUGGGGUCGAAAACGGUUACGACAAAGUUAAUGUCCAAACCUCCGCAAAAAUGAGUGUGAGUAUCAUUCUGCGACAAUUAUGCUUCGUAAAGAAUGUCACAACAAAGGAUCUCGCGUUAAAACCUUGUUCGAGUCUCGGUUGGAUCAGACACCGGCUGUCCCAAGGUAACGGAUACGUAUCUAAAACAGCCACGGAUAAGUUCGAGUAUGACGAUCGGAACACGGACAAGCCAAGCACGGUCGCUACGCAGCAACCAAGCAUGCACACUGCUCGGUCGCUACGUAGCGACCGAGCUCGAGCCAAGCACGCACACGGCUCGGUUGCUACGUAGCGACCGAGCACGCACACAACUCGGUCGCUACGUAGCGACCGAGCUCCAGCCAAGCUCGGUCUCUACGCAGCGACCAAGCAAGUACACGGCUCGGUCGUUACAUAGCGACCGAGCAUGCACACAGCUCGGUCGCUACGUAGCGACCGAGCUCAAGCCAACUCUCCACUCGCUACAUAGCAACCUUUCAGGCCUCAGAAAUUUCCUACUUUGCGUUCUAUUUUGAAUCCUCAUCGAAACGCUUUUCGUUUCGUCUCAAUCGAAGUUUUCGUUGAGAUUUUACGACGAAAACAAGUAGGACUCUUCUGGGCUUGCUUCUACUCGCUACGUAGCGACCUGUUAGACCUCCACUCGCUACAUAGCGACCUGUAAGGCCUCAGAAAGUUCCUACUCUGCGUUCUUUUUUGAACUCUCAUCGAAACGCUUUUCGUCUCGUCUCAAUCGGAGUUUCCGUUGAGAUUUUACGACGAAAACAAGUAGGACUCUUCUUGGUUUGCUUCUACUCGCUACGUAGCUACCUGUCAGACCUCCACUCGCUACAUAGCGACCUGUCAGGCCUCAGAAAAGUCCUCCUUUACGUUCUCAUUUGAGUCCUCAUCAAAACGCUUUUCGUUUCAUCUCAGUCGGAGUUUCCGUUGAGAUUUUACGACGAAAACAAAUUAGACUCGUCUAAACUCCUUGGCUUGCUCGCCCUUACCUCCAUCUUUGCGUUCUCCUUCGAGUCUCGAUCGAAACAUCUCUUAUGUCGUCUCGAUUGGAGUUACCAUUGAAGUUUACGAUAAAAAACCCGCAAAGACUUGUUUUCUCGCAUGGAUUCAAAUUAAUCGUAUAAAACGGUAACGGUUAACUUAACACCUUAGCCGCCUCAACUAUACGAUUACGUUGAACCUUUUUAUAAAAAUUGAUGUCGUAUCUAAGGAGAAGAUAACAGUCAAGUUCGGAAGAUAAAUGUCAAGUUUCAAAGGAUAAAUACCAAUAUCAAAAAUAGCGAACAUACACGAGAAGAGAAAGGGGAAAUAAGCAAGCAAAACUGAGAAGAGACAAAACUGCAUCUUCGAAAGAACUAAGGUAUUUCCGACUUGAAAUUUUUGAAAUCAGACUAAGAAUUUUUGUAGGAAUUACUAAGAAAUAAAAACACCUUUGAGACUGCCAUAAAACUUUAUGGAACGUAAAACCUAGGUGGAUAGUCUAGCGAACUAAGUCUUAGGCGAUUUUUCCGGUCUCGAUAUAUAGUUCCAUAACUGUUCAACCAGAUCUUGCAAACCGAUCUAAACUCUCUGAAAAUUGAGAAACGAUCGCCACGCAUAUCAAUCUCGCUUCCUAAAGAGAGAAAAAAUUAGAGACAUGAACAUCGUCUUAAAACCGAUUCGUUUCUAACAAUUUUCUCGGAACCGACAUAUUCCAAGUCGUGAACGUGGAAAUAACCAAAUCACAGUCCAAGCGUCGUCUUCAAAUCGUCUCGGAUUAUUGAUCAUUCCAAACCUCAGAAGAAGAAACGUACACAGCCCUUCAAAGUAUCGGUUCAACCGUUUUCUUUCAUAAAAAAAAGGGAGUAGGUACGUAUACUAUACUCGUAUACUCCCAAAUGGGCAAACGACGAUCUAAAAUUCGUUUAAACGCUAGCAACAUAUCCAGACGAUCAUGAACAUAAUCUCAAAGACUAUACAUCAUUUCUUGUCGCAAUCAUGCGUACAGAAAAUCUGUCCUAAUAUCAAACUGAAAUUCGACGAUUAGCCAAAGUAUUGAAACCCUUUCCGGCUUUAGAAAGCCAGUUUUGUUUAAAAAUUUCUACGAGAAAUCUUCAAUCACAAAAGCAUUUCUUUCAGUUUCCGUUGUACCAAGUGAGUCACGGAAAAGUAUCGAAAACAUUUGCGACGAAGAAAACUCGAGAAUAGAUGUAGCAUCGUGCACAUUAAAAGGAACAAUUUCCUCCCGAUGGUUAGCUAGAUCCACCUCUGGUUGAUGAUACACUAAAUAUGAAUCCUUGCUACUGCCAAGUUAACAGUUGUGAUUAUAGUACUUUAGAUUCAAUCCAGAGGACCAGUCUACACUUUACUCUUAUAAAUUUCAAUAUCAAGCUAAGAAGAAAAUGGUUUUUAAUUCAAUUGGUGACGCGGAAAACAAGUAAACUAGAGAUUGAUUCAAUUUAACAAGAAGCUAGCCUAGGGUAUUUCAUUGGAUGUUGAGCGAGAGCCAAACAAUUAUUCAAGCGCGGUGCAGUGCUUUCUAGAACUCGGAUCACUCAGCUGGAACACCCCACUGUCGUGGUGGUGAUCUCUUUGCUGGUCGGUCCCAUCAUCUAACUGUCGUUGAGAUGAGAAACGACUGCAAGCCUUAGAGGUCAGGUCCGAUCAGUUCACUUACUACCCUAAUAUCUACUUUCGCUGAUUAGGGAUACAAUGCUCAUUCAAGUUAUGUCUAGCAACCUAUAACACUUUUGAUGAAUAGAUUAAACCUAGAAUCAGGCACUAAGUUCCCAAAAAUAGAAGCUUCCUUAUUUGUCGGGAACAACCUCGGGAUCACUCCGUCUGCUUGUUCUGCUUGAGAACAGUCUCGGGACUGUUCGUCUGGAGUGUUCUCCGCAAAAUGCUCCAAAAGGACAGCUUCUCUUCAAACACCCUCUUUUCACUCUUCUACCACCUCCAGACCUGUAAAAGAUCAAAAAGGACUAGACUGACUCAGAUUAAGGACUCGAAUCAAUACAAAAACUCCUAUACAAUGAUGUGAAAAACACCAUAUAUCAAUUCCCCCAGACUUAGAUCCUUGUUUGUCCUCGAACAAAGCAAGUAUCAAGAACAGGAGAAAAGUUUGAAAGUGUGGGAACUCGCUUAUUCUCAGCAACCAUACUCUUACCACAAAUCUCUGAACCAUACAAGCAGUUGAUUAGAACCACACACACUUACUGGAAACCCCUGAUCGCUGUUCACAGAUCGGCUCCUUACUCUACAUCUUGACCUGAAAAAGCGACACUUUCGAGACCAAACUCCAUUUGUUCAAUUAGAAUUUUCGUGAGCUUCUUGUCAUGGGCGCUACUCAGGGUGGACGGUCUAGGUAUGGAACAAGCUUUUUAAUGGUGGAGUUGAGAGUGUUUAGGGGUUACCGAUUUCUUAGAGGAUGCAGGAUAUCGCACAAAAUGGCAAGAGAGAACGGAUCCAUUGAUGUCCACAGCCUCUACUCGU
rnacentral:lncRNA from 1 species